rnacentral:lncRNA from 1 species
UGAAAAUAACUCUUCUAGAGUGAAAUUGGUGCUUCAAAUCUAAACUAAUACAUCCUUAAUUAUUGUUUCUGAGUGAAUUGCAUGUGCAAAUAAGGUCCAAAAGUUUUGCUAUUGUGCUUGGGAAAUCUUUUUUCAAAUGGACAAAUAAAUAAUCAUAACAAUAGCAAUAAUUAUUGUAACUCAUGAGUUCUGUUAACUAUAAAUCAAAGUGGGAAUAUUUCCAUAUUGUGGCAUGACAUGGGCUUUUCUUCCCAACCAAAUUUUAAAAAAAUUUAGAUUCUCUAUUUGACUAUUUAAUUGUGCAGACUCAUAUAUAAAAGGGAGAUUGUCAAUUUUCUCCAUAUUGUAAUCAAUAUAUACCAUUUGCUCUUUAUUGUUUUUAUAAUAAUCAAUAAUCCCUUGACAACAUAAUUUUAUAAUAUUACCCUUAUUUUUAAAUACACUUUUAUUCAUAUUUAUUAUAAAUUAAAUAAAUCACAUGAAUUGAAAUUAAAAUAAAAAAUUAAGUAUAAAAAUAAAAAUAUAUAUUUUGAUGUAAAAAAAUUAAUAAUAAAUAUUUUUCUUGUACUUUUUAUAUUUAAUUUUAAAAUAUUUUAAAUUAUUUAUUAUAAGAAAAUGUUUACAAAAUAAAAAAGUACAAGAAAACUUUUAUUAUUUAUUUUUUUGUUCACAUCAGAACAUAUAUUUCUUAUUUUUAAUACUUAAUUUUUUAUUUAGUUUUUAUUCAUAUGAUUUAUUUAAUUUAUAAUAAAUAUAAAUAAAAGUGUAUUUGAAAAUAGGGGUAAUAUUAUAAAUUUAUAUUGUUAUGGAGGUUAUUAAUUAUUAUUAAAAAAAAUAAAUAGUAUAUAUUGAUUACAGUAGGGAAAAAUUGACAAUCUCCCCCAAUAUAAAUGUAGACAAACUGUUAGCCUUACUUCACAGAAGUUUCAUUGCAUGUCGUUUCGUGAUGGUGCAUGAGAGUGAUCAAUUAAUUGGGAACGGCAAUGUUGAAGUUGAUAUGAUAAAAGUGAAAAUGAUUAGAUAUUCCACCAUGUCUAAAUUCAAGAAAUUGAAGCACAAAUCAAGUGAUCAAAUUCUCUCAUAUAAUUAAUUAUCAAUCACUUGGUCUGAAGGUCAUCAAGAAGCGGUUGACAAAUUAAAUUACAUUGUUCUUUCAUAAAUGGUAAAAAAAAUAUAAUCUAAGACUUAGGUCAUAUUUGAUAUUAAGGUAUUAUACCUUUUAAUUUAUAGUCGCUGUGAAACAAAACUAUAAUUAUGAAAAAAUUGAGAGUGUAUAAUCAAUAUAACUUUUAACUAAUAACUUUGACAAAAAUAAUAAAAAUAUUAUAGACUUCUCAUUAUACAAAUGUGAAAUCAAAUCAACUUAACUUCUAUACCACAACAAUCAAUACUUACCAAAUAACUUAUUGCUAUAACUUAGAACACUAUAACUACCCAACAUUGACUCUGAACAGGAUCUCAGUUUGUAAAUAGUGUGUCAUUCUUUCCUUGCUUUAAAAUACUAGUAGUAUUAAGUCUUCAGCUACCAAUGGGUCUUUGGUCCAAUGGGAGAAGCCUUGCACUUACAAUGUUGAGUGCAAGGGUUCGAGCCUCCAUAAGUGCAUUAUGGAGGUUAGUUUCAGUUCUUCCUCAAUUAUCAAUUAAUUAAGUGGAGACAGUCUCUCUCUCACGAAAUGUGAGUGGAUAGGCACCCCUCGAAUAUUAGAGAGGGUUUAAAAUAUCUGGGUAUAUACUUCAGUGUGUCAAUGUAUGGUGGUAGUCCCAGUUAUAUAGUAUAAUUGUAAAUAUCAAUUGUAAUAUCUGAUGUAAUAUCAGUAAUAUCUGUGUAUAACAGACUUCAAAAAAAAAAAAAAAAAGUCUUCAGCUUGAAACCAAUCCAACGGUACAUAGUUUUUUCCAAGUUCCAUCAGCACCAAAUUUAUGCAUGAUCCACAUCUAAAAUGAAUACUGAAUGUCUAUGGAAUCAACCAAAAUUACCAACACAAGAGAAUGAUUUAACACCAUAAGUUUCCAAUGAUUCCACACCAGUAUUAAAAGAACAAUCCAAAGUACUCCAUAGUGUCAUCACUUUUUAUUCAUUGUCAAAUGCCAACUUGUAACAAGCUCCAUUAAGGUCUAUAGCAGAAUUUUGUAGAAGCAAUUUUAUUUUUUUGGAGAGCACUGAUAUUUGAAAGAAAAAUUAAAUAAAUAUGACAAAAAAAUAUCUAACUCCAUGUGCGUUUAAGAGUGUGUUUACUUACUAGAAUGAGAUUAAGAAGCAUGAAAUUCUCUCACUCCAGUGUUUACAUGCUUAUUUAAGGGUAAAAGUGGAAAUCCUACUUCAUGACUCUCACCCACUUUUAGAGUGUGGAGUGAGAUUACCACUCCAAUAUUCCCACUUUCACCUAUUCUUUUUUUACCAUUCCCUUUAAAUAUAACAUAAUUAUAUUUAUUAAAAUAAAUAUAAUUGUAUUUAUUAAAAUAAAAUAAUGUUACAUUUAUUCAAAAAUAGUAAUAUCAUAUCUACUUAAAUAAUAUCAUUAUAUUAUUAAUAUAAUAUUAUAUUUAUUUAUUUACAUUAUUUAUCAAAAUGAUUUAUUUAUUAAAAUAAUAAUUUACAUUGAUUCUAAGUUAAAAUUACUUAAAAAUAAUAUUAUAAUAUUCACAUAGAUGAUAUUACUAAAUAAUAUCUUUAUUCAAAAAUAUAAUAUUAUUAUAUUUAUUUAAUUUUAAUAAUUAAUAAUAAUAAAUAUUAUAAGAAAUAUUAAUUUUCUACUAUAUUAUUUAUAAUAAGGUUUCAUUUGUGUUGCUCUUAUAAAUAAUUUUUAUUUUACUUAAUUGAAAUUAAAAUUAAUACGAAAUUUGUGAUUUACAUAAUUGAGAAUGUUAAAAAUAAUUGCUAACUCAUAUGAUUAAAAUUACUAAUAAAAUAACUAGUUUAUUUUAGAAAUAUAUUUUUUAUUCAAUUUCUAAUUAAGAACUACAAUUGUUUAUAUAAGGGUAAAACUAUAAUUUAAAAAAAUUCAAUCCUAAUCCAUAACAAAUUAAACACAUAAAUGAGAUUUUAAUUUUUAUUCCACAAUCUCAUUCCAGUGUAAGUAAAUAACCGACUCCCACUCCAACUCUAUACUCACAAUCAUAAGAUUCUCACUCCUCAAGAUUCUAAUUGAAUCCAAAAAAUAAACGUUACCUAAAUACUUUGUUUACAAAAUUGUAAUAGUAUCAUAUGGGAUUACUAUCCAUUAUAUCACCCUAUGGUCUACUUUCAUUUAUCAAUUAAUCUGAUGGGUUCGCCUCAAUCUGAGAUGUAGAAAAAUGGGCCUCGUCCUAGGUCCAAUUUGAGUUUAGAAUCGGGUUGAUCCAUUAAGGCCUGUUCCUGCCGGGCCCCAUAAAUUACAAAAAUUACAUAAAAUAUAACUAGAAAUCUUAAUAACACUACUCAAACGAAGUGCAAACGUUAGGUAUAUAAAACAGAAGCGCAAAUGAAAUGAAGAAAGCAAAGGAAAAUGAAAGGAAACGAAAUGGUGAUUGAUGAGUGAUGAUUGAUGAUUGAUGAGCACAGCUGAUAACAUCUACUUAGCUUAGCGCAGUUGUUUUUGUCAUUGCUUGCACCUCGCCAUUGAACAAUCUCUUUCUUCCACUGUACAUAUUCCAAAUAUGCUCUCAAAUAACGUUUUAUUUAGUGUUAUUAAUUAAUUAAUUAAUUCAGUGGAGUCGACAAAAAACCAAAUCCAAUUUGUUAUUUUGAUUUGGUCAAUUAUUUUAAAACCCAAAACCCUAUAAAUAUUAUUCGCCAACCUCAAAUACCCACUACAGUUUUGAGUUUUUGAAGGGAAAUAUACGACAGCCUAGAGGAAGAAAAUGGUUUCUCAGGUUUUGGUAGCGCUUGGGCUUUCACUUGUGGGUGGAUUGAGUACUUCUAUUGGUGAGUUUUAUUUGAAAUUUAGAAACUUUAGGUUCAUUUUUCGGUUAAAUGUUUCUGGGUAUUUGCUACCUUUCUGCUUUAGCUCUUUAGCGUUGCUAGUUUCUCUGCUUAAAUUCAUGAAGUUGACUUUUUAAGGUCUUGUGCUGAGAAGCUUCUGAUUGAAAUUUAAGGUUUUUUACUAAUGUAAUUGUGUUUGUUGACUACUUAUUAUUGAUUAUUUUUAUGUUUUUGUGGUAUUGGGUAUUUGUUGAGUUUGUAUUUUAGGUCAAAUUUAGUGGAUUCUGCUUGUUUAUAUGGAAUUUAGAGGGAGUGAAUGUGGUAGAGCCGAGUUAAGCAGAGUUGUGAUGACUAGUUGAGAAUAAUGUGAUUAAAGAAUUGUGCAUUUCAGUUAAAUGGCAAUCUGAAUUUGGCCUUAAAAUUUUAACUUGUGAUUUGUUUAAAUGGAUUUUUUAUUAGAAGGACAAACCAUGGUUAUCAAAUUAGAUGGCUGGUCAUAUUCAUCGGAAUAGUAUUAAAAAGUCCUUGUUUUAUAAGAGUUUAUGGGUGAUGUCUAUGGCUGACAAGAUAAUAAGAAGUUAACAGAUUAGGGAAUAAUUUGUCCUUUUUCUAUUUCUCUUCUUUAUGAUGGUAGUCAGGGGGACUGAGUGAUCUAUUGUAUGAUAUUCCUCUUCCCAGAUUCGUGCAGUUAGAAAAUGGCAUGAAUGAGAAGUUGAGAUAAGUCUUAGAAUAUAUCAUGCACAAACACCUGCAUAAUGUUUGUAGAUAGUGAUUCCAAUGAGGUCUAGUUGAUAAUCUAGUUCUACAUGCUUGAUGUUGUUGCAGGUGCACUUUUUGUAGUUCUUAAUGAAGCUCCCAAUUUGAAGGUGCUUGGGCUUUUACAGGUAAUUUAUAAUGUUGUGUCUCCAUUUCUGUUGUAAAAAACUGAGUUUUUUUUUUAAUUUUCUUUUUUCGUUUUGAGGAAGUGCAUGUCGCUUGUGUAGUGCAGAUGGAUUUUUUGAAUUAUAGUUUACUGGGGCAUGAGAUAAAAAGAUAAAUGACAAAACUCUGAUUAGUGACAUUGUCUAAAUCCUAGUUGGCUUACGUGCAGGGUUUUGCUGCGGGUCUGAUGCUGAGCAUAUCGUUUCUAGAUUUGGCUCAUAAUGCCAUAAACUCCAUUGGCUUUUUGAAAGGAAACCUUUGGGUUGGCUGUGCUCUCUGUAUUCAUGUUUUUAUUGUUUAACUUUUAACGACACUGGCUUAUUCCUGUUGAUUCUAACAAUAAUUUUUCACUUCUUGGCAAUGUAGUUUUUUUCUGGUGUUAUAUUCUUCGCAAUCGUUGCCAAUUUCAUCCCCGAACCAUCACUAGCUCAGGGUUCUGAUCUAACAAGUAAAAAGGUUUAAAAGUUCUAUUCUCCUAAUAAAUGAUUGUAUUCAUGAUCUUCUUGCAUAUGAGAUUGACUUUGGAGCUUCAGUAUUCUGCUGAUAUCUUUACAAGUAUAUUAACAGUUUUUUUACAUUGUGCUUGAGAACAGAAAAAUGAAGAUGAAGGGGGUAAGGACAUGAUGAAAAAGCAUCGUCGCCAAGUUCUUUUUAGUGGGAUUAUUACAGCCGUAGGUAUGACUACAUUGUCGUUAUGGUUGAGCUCUUCUAGUCUGAGAUUAUCCUUUUAGUAGGUUCAGUCAUUACUUGCGACUUCUGUGGUAGAGUAAUGUAGGCAAGCACCAAAGGUUGAAUCGAUGAUGCAGCCUAUUACUUGUCUAAUUAGUUGAUCAUUGACUGCACUCCCUCAAAAGUUUGCGAAGUGAACACUUAUUGUUUAUAACUUCAUUAAGGGCUAAGAAGGGUUUUAUAUUAAUUUUUUCUUUAUUUUUAAUGGCAUUUAAUUUUGUGGAAACUGAGAGAACUGAUAGCAUAUUGUGGUGCAUUGGCUAUUUUAAACAUUUGGGAAAUGCUGGAGGUCUCAAUAACUUUUGGCUAUUUGAGCUGUAAAAAGUGGUUUUUAUAGGGCUUAGGGCGGGUACAGUGAUGUUAAGAAUCGAAGUUGAGGAAAAAGGAAAAGAGAAUUGCAUUGCACAAUUCUCAAAUGGAAAUUCAUAUCUGCUUAAAAUUUAUAAUCUUAGUUUAUGUAUACAUUUGAAGGUCCCUGGGGUUUUUGGUUCCACAAGAAAUCGACUAAUAAAUUUGAAACUUAGAAGUAGAAACUUGAAUGUUGAACCAAGCUAAAAGCCACGGGUGAAAGCUCGACAAGAAGUUAAGUUGGUAAUCAAAGAAGACACAUGAGAACAUAAGCGCAAGCCAUACAGAAAACCUUGUAGAUCUUCAAACAUUUUAGUGCUAAGAUUGAAGAGAUCAAAGGAAAAAAGGGGAAAAAAAAAAGCAUUUACUGCUAGGAACAUGAAUAGUAAUGAUUAAUAGUAGCUAAGUUUCAUAAAAGUUCCUAGUAGAUCAAGGAACUAUUUUGUCAAUGUUUGCAAUUUUUAUUUACUUUUUAGGAAAAGUCAUUUGCUGAAGUUAGAUAAAACAAGACAAAACCCACUAUAGGAACUAUCUAGUUGAGCUGGUAGUUCUCUUUUAAUUUUACAAGAGGUCUUGGAUUCUAGUCCAAGAGAGAGGAGCGUAUUGAGUGAAUUUUCUGGAAGGACCAAUUAAAUGCUAUUUUUCUUGGCCUGAUAAUGAUAGAUAAUCUCAAUUCACAAUAACCUUCACAACGCUUCAAUAUUUCUGUGCAUGAAAUUAGUAGAAACUCUUAUCAAUCAAUUGAUGUGUAAUAAUACAAUCUCCAAUUCUGGAUAAAUCGAGUGCUUAUAUUGGGUUUCAACUGAUAAAUUUCUCUCUGGGUUGUAGGCAUAAGCUUGCACAAUUUUCCUGAGGGAAUGGCCGUAUUUCUUGGAUCAAUGAAGGUAGCCUUCACUGUUUAUAUUUUGGUAACAAGAUAUCAUAUUAAUGAUAGGUUAAUUCACUAUGCAGUCAUAUUGAUGAAUAGGCUUGUGGCAGCCCAUUGUGGUGUUUAAGUUAACAUCAUAGUGGUAAUAAAUUACAUAGGAAACCAAAACAAAGCAAUUUCAUUUUAUAUAGAUGAUCCUGCUUGGCAUAGACCAAUAUUGAAUAAUGACCUGUACUUUUAUUCUGUUAUUCCGCUUGACAUAACCAUCUCGAUAUGCUAAACAGAAAUUCUGAAACUAUGUGCUCGAUGAGUUACGAUACCCCUUUUGGUGUACCUUGUAGGACUGGUUAAGCUCAUAAGAUAGAAUAAUAUUUUAUCCUAUAUUUGGUGUAGGGUUGAGUAAACUGAUCUAAUUUUGAAAACUAUAGAAUGAAUAUGAUGAGAAAGGAAAAUAAAAGAAAAAAAAUUCCGUUAAUGGAAUGUUCAUUAUGCAUAAUGUUGUCGUCAUAUGAGUUUGAUUUGGUUGAAUGCUGAUAUUUCUUAUUUUAUUUGCAAGUUAAGCCACUAAUGGGUCUACAAGCAUAAGGAAUUGAUGCCAUAUUGUUCAACUGAUACACAAAAUUCUAAAUGAAUAUUCCAUUAAUCGUAUUGGAUUAGUGAUAUGGUAUCACUAGAGUAUGUGCUUAUAAUUCCAGUUUGUUUGCCUCUUGCUUCUCAUGUAGGGCCUUCGUGUUGGUCUUAAUUUGGCAGUUGCCAUUGCUUUGCACAACAUCCCUGAGGUAUAGAUUCUGAGAUCUUGUACCAUGGAAUUUUUAGUUUUUUUCAUUCAUUGCUUUACAAAAUGUCACAGGUUAUUCAACCACAUUACUUUCUACUGUAGCUAUAUUUACAUAUACUUGGCUGAAUCAUUAAUUAUAAAUGAUAAAAGUCAAGCCAAGGUUAAAAUCAUCGUUAUAUCUAUCCUUUUUAUUUAUUUUUUUAUGUUAAUCAGUUUGGUCCAUGAAAGCAAAUAUCAUAAUCUUGGAGAAGAGAAUUUGCCAUCUUAAUUUCUUAUUAAAGUUAUACCAGAUUGCUAGCUUUUCGUAGCUUCGCAUUCAACAUUGCAUUUCUUGUCUCUUUCUGGAUACUAAAUUAAUUGAAUUUGAUCACAUGUCAGAAAAUUAUUUACUAUGGUGACCGAGCUUUUUGAAAAUUAAAAAUUAUGAGAAAUUGAUAUUUUAUUCAAGGGAUACUAUUUAUUUUAAGGAAUACAAGUCAUCUAUUGAUAUAUUAAUGAUGUUGAGCAAUAAUGAAUUUCCUUUUAUGUUGGCAUUCAUUCUUGUUUUUCUUAUUCAGGGUGUUGCUGUUGCUCUUCCUGUUUAUUUUGCAACACAGAGGUAAGAAUCCCCCAAGGCACUAUUUAGCACAGCAUUUUCAAAGUUCUUAAUGGAACAAGAAUAAGAAAAUAAUAGGAGAAAGAUUUAUGCAUUUAUCACAUUUUCAACACGAUUGAAUUUGAUUUUGAUUACUUGCUGCUUAAUAUGGGUUUUCCCAACCUGAUCUAAUUUUGUCAUUGGAAGGUCUACCAACUUAAUAUAAACUUUUUUGGCUCUUGCUGAAUAUUAUUGCUUGUUCCAAGAUAAUAGGAAUACGUGCUUAAGAUGCUAGCUUGAACAAAACAACAUUUAAUCGUAGUUUUGUCAUGCAUUGUGUGCAUGCAUGCUCGUAUGCCCCGAUCACCUCCUAACUGUAAUUUUUUUAGGAUUGCUAGUUGUAAUUGUGAUACUAUUUGAUGCAAAUAAAAUUCAUUUAUAGGAUUACUAUUAACUUUUCAUUGUAUUUACAUGUCUUAGCAAGUGGCAGGCAUUCAAAUUGGCUACUCUUUCUGGUUUUGCGGAGCCUCUUGGAGUUAUAAUUGUGGGUAUGUUUACUACUCUCCUUGCGGAGCAGGUGAUAUCUGAUAAAAAGGGGAAAAAAAAGAAAUUAAUUUGUCCAAAUUUUUGGCUCUUUUGUCUUGUUAGUUUGUAAAGAGUAAAUGAGUAGUGGGUGUCAUUGUUUACACGACUUGGCUAAAUAUUCUGCUUUGCUGGUAAAUGGUUGUGAGGUAGUUGUUACUUGGGUAGACCAGUGUUAGAAGUGCAGUAAAAUAUAUUAAGGAGCAGUUUAGCUUAUUAACUAUGAUAAAUUUCUGACAAAGUCCUCUAUUGAAUAUUAUUGAUAACUUUUAUGAAUAUUAGAGAACUAUUUGGGACUCCAUGGUAUGCAUUUUUUUCGCAUACAAUGGAGAAUAAUGUCGUUGAUCAGGUUUGACGGAUUGAAAUCUUAUGAUAGCUGAAGUCAUGUUUUAUCAACCGACAGCUGAACUCUGGUCCAGUCAUUGAUGUUUAACUUCACAGAUAUAUGUAUGCCACAAAGUGUCUAUUUCAAUCCUGUAAUUUUUGAAAUAUUAGUACUUGUCAGUAGAAGUAUUAUAAUUAAUGUGUUUUUUGUAAGAACAAGUUUUAACAGUAUAAAUGAUGUCUUUAUAUUGAAUUUUAGUCUCUUUGCUUGCAAGAAUUUGUUUUAACUGUUGGCGAUGUGUAUUUGAACUGCUUAUAAUGGAUGCCUUUUCUUUGGUUUAUCAGCCUACCUAUUUCCAAGCAGUUUAAGUCCUGAAAUUCUCGAGGGUUUGCUAGGAUCAGGUUUGAUUUAUUGUCAAUUGUUUGACAUCUCUAGUUAAUAGAAAAUUAUGUUGUGUUACAACGACUUUCCCAGCAAUUCUAUUUUUAUGAUUGCAGUUGGUGGAGUGAUGGCCUUCCUAACUUUGCAUGAAAUGCUGCCAUUGGCCUUUGAUUAUGCGGGUCAGAAGCAAGCUGUGAAAGCUGUAUUCUUUGGGAUGGCUUUCAUGUCUGCAAGGUAAUUAAAUUUAUGAACAAGAAACUCUGUUUUGGUUGUUACAUCCGAAGCUCUCUCUCUAGUUAGGAGGAUAAAUCAGGCUGCAGAAUCCUGCAGUUACAUGUCAACUUUGAUUACAGAAAAUUUUAUAAGAAAAUAUCUUUCUUUUCCAAGUUUAUGAUUAUGUAUAUGAGUGCAAAAUCAUCAGACUAGGCCAAUUAUUUUGUCAAGAGAACGCUUGAUAUCCAUUGCUGAGUCAAUGUCUUGGCUCAAUCCUAUCUUCUCACCUGUAGAGGGAGGAGAAAAAAGAUGGCAUUUGCCUUUGCAUUUGUUUCAGCAUUAGCUUGGAUUAUGGUUUAUUCACCUACAGCCAAGCUGGUUAAGUUGGUGCGGUCAAUUCGGCUGAUGCACCAGCUCUAAUGAUCAGUUUCACUCACACCAAGUGAGAAAACAAAGAACAAUGAUAGAAGUACUUUAUUUGUUAGAGAGAAUGCAAAGUAGUCAUCUUCCAAUUGACAUGAAUAAUAAGUGCACAAGUACUUCAGACUGUCCUCAUUUUAGCUGUAUUCUGCUGUAAAAGCAGCUUAUAAUACAGACCAAGUCUUCAUCGGUUUGCUUAAAUUUCCUCAUUGUAAUGAUAUUCUUACAUGAAUCAUUUCUGCUUUUGCAGCUUAUAUUUUCUUGAAAUCAGCUUGCCGGCAGAGAUGAGCUUGUAGCUGCCACAUACCAUGACAUUUGUACAUUCCCGAACUGCCUCAAUGGCUUCUAUCACAAGGUUGCUGCCUGCCUUACUGUUCUUUAGCCAAAACGCCAACCUCUGGAGCUGCUAUGAAAAAUAGUAAUUCUUAUGAUUCAACUCAAAAUUGUACGCUCAAAUGGAAAAUGUAUGUGACAAGAAAAAGACCCCAAAGGCUUGUGUAUUUUUUAUUAUUGUCUUUCCUCCCUAAGCUUCUUCGAUAUUACGCUGAUCGAUCCAUUUAUUUUCUUGCCAUUGAUUUUACUUUUUAUCUUUUUAAAGGUUCAGCCGGAGAUGAGAGUCCUCACCCAUUAUAUACCAAUAUUUAUCCUCGGUUAUUACUCGAACUCGAAUGAUCAUUUGUGUGCAAAGCGCAUUGUUGAGCUCCCCUAACGGGCAAGCCAUUGAUUUUACUUUAUUUGCUGAUUCAAAAUGGUGCCGUUGAAUUUUCACACUCAUCUCUUGUUCAAAUCUAGCCCACUGACUUCAAAUGAUUUUGGUCAGGGCUUCCACCAGCUUGGAUCAUAAAGUUAUUUUGUGUGCAUUCAGGUUCUGCAGAAGACAAAACGGAACCACUCAUUUCGGCUUUUCAUUCUGUCUUUAUGAGUUAUUGCUACUGCAACAGUUUUAUGACAUUUAAUUUGUUGUCUUCCUAAAGAACAAGAUCUCUAAGUACAUAUUCCUUCAAACCUUUCAUUUUCCUACAAGCUCCUCAGAAACUUCACACAUAAUGCCUAAUAAUAUUCUAAACGCAAUGCCCCGACUUGAUCAUUCCGUAUAAAGAGGUGGGUUGGGUGACAAUAACCAGUACAAGAUUAAUUGAAUAUUUUGUUGUCAAUUGUCAUACACACUUAUGUGGGUCCUUAGAUUAAGAGAUACUCUUAACGUCUUAAUCAACUCAAUAUUAUUCGGACUUUAUUAAAGAUAUUGGAGGUGGCUUUUUCUCAUUAGGAAGUAAACGAUGUCCAUUUAUAAGUAUAUGUUCAUCCAAUUGAGGAUAGAGCUACAGCACAACUAUUGUCAAAUAAAACGUUCAUCUACUCUUCUCUAUUGCAAAUUCUCAAUUCCUGGUUAGAGCCUCAAGUCACAAUCCUCAAAUUUUGGGAAAUUUACACAACUAACUAUAAAACUUUAUGCUUUUUUCAUUUUAACCCCACAAACUAAUUUCUAUCAACAUUAGCAAAAAAAGAACGUUUCAUACCAAAAUGCCCCUCUCACAUCUCUCCCCCAACAAUCUUUCUUUCACGUAAUCUCUCUCAAAUCCAAGAAACACCCAUAGUCGGCGGCAACUUCACUGUAUGAGAAAGAUAUACGAGAGUCUUGACAAUGCACUGUAUGAGAAAGAAGAGAAAUUUAAGAUGACUCGGUUGGAAAAUCCAGAUCAUAAGAUAGAAAAGUACAAUCUAUACGGCUUUACGUCUGGGGUUCAUGUGCGUUUUUUUUUUUAGUAAUAAGUUCUGUAACAUUAAAUAUUUAAUGAUAGUUUUAAUAGCUUUUUCACUUUGGCUGUUGUAGGCUUGGAUUUACGAAGCGAUUGGAGGUUUGCCGUCAGCAUGGGUCGUGAAAACGAAGAAGAAGAUUCCCCGCAUCGUGCAAUGGAAGCCCAUGGCUUCUUCGAAAAUCAACUUUGCUGAGGCUUAUUUGUUCUUCAAUGACGAAUAAGUGUACAAUACACAAAAAAUAACAACAGUUUUAACCAAGGAAUCGUUGAAACAAUACAACUAACUUCGACUCAACGCAAUGGGAUUCUUACAUCGCUUACGGUUAUGUCUCAGCUCAUUACAUCGCCCACAUCUAACAGUCCGCCGGUUAACGUCCUCGCCAACCAAGGGUAUUCUGAGCUCUUUACGACGACUAGGUGAUGGUGCCUCAACUGGUGGAUAUACGUGCAUCUCUUGAAUUUCGUUUGGAACUUCCCAAUCAUCCACGUCGCCAACCGGCUCCACUGGUUGUGCAUAAGUCAUCGCUAACGAUUCUGUGGUGUAAAAGUCCGAACAAAUGUUAAUGAAAUCCACUCGGACAGUUAGACACGCCGCAAUUGCAUGAGCGCAUACAAGUUGAUCAAGCUGAAAUACUCUGCAGGAGCAAGUUUUCUUUUGCAAGUCAACUAAACAUUCCUUAAUCCCACCACCUACAACUUGAAAUCGAUGCGGAGACACUGGCCGAACAAUCAUUCUUUCAGCUAUAGUUUUCCUCUUAGUGACAAUUUCAUCCGCCCAUGUUGUUAGCCGAGUACUCAUUAAUUCAGCCAUAAUUUUUCUAUCAUAAAACCAUUGCUGUAAUAUUUUCCUAAAGUAAUAAAAAAGAUGAGUAACAUAAAAUUUUCGCGAAUCCCUCAUGAAAGAAUUAACACUCUCCGCGAUGUUAGUGGUAAGUAUGUUGUAUCUCCUACCUUCAAACUGAGACCUUGCCCAAUUACACGUACCCAUAUUAUUUUCUAAGAAAUCAACCGCACCCGAGUGGAUCAUCCACAACCCUUCAAGUUGUCUUUUAAAUUCCUCGUGUCCAUAUGCUUUUGCUGCAUUAAUAAAGGCAGGCUCAAAUUCAUCCCAAAGAGCUUUGGACAUCCUAAACUUUGACUUAAUGUUACCUUUCACAUGGUAAAAACAAACGCCAUGAGUUGCAUUGUGAAAUACUUUCAGAACGACUCUCUUUAUGGCAGUGCAUCGAUCAGAGAUAAUUACCAACUCAUGCUUAUCGCCAAUCACUCCGUGUAACUUCAUCAUAAAUCAUUCCUAAACAUCAUUGUUUUCUGAAUCCAUGACCCCAAUGGCUAGCAGAUACAAUUGAUUGUUACCAUCCAGACAUGUUGCUACGAACAUGCUUCCACAAUAUAGCCCCUUUAGAUGAGUACCAUCUACAGCAAUGACAAGCCGAAUGUACUGCAUAAAACUCUUGAUAGAAGAUCCAAGUACUACAAAGUAGUACAAGAAAUUACCAUCUCCAUCCCGCUCGAGGUGAGUGAUUGUACCCUCAUUCGCUUUAGUCAGUACGUGAGAGUAUUUAGAGAGUAAGUUGUAUGACUCUGCAGGGUUGCCUCGAAUUAUUUCAAGACCAACUUCUCUGGCCCGAUAUACCUGCUAGUAUGUUAACUGAACAUCGUAUUCCUGCUGCAUAUCUACUCUGAUGUCAUUCAGAGUAUAAAUCCUCUUUUCUUGAAUAUAUUUAUCUGCGAUAAUAUGACCGACAACUUAGCUCCUUACUUGAUGACGACCAUCAACCAAUAUCUCGUUACGACAAGUGUGUACAUUGUCAAUUCUCCUCACCACCCAAGGAACAUUUUGCUCGUUCGAACUUCUCAUUGCUCGAAUACGCCAUUUACAUGAUUCCGAACAACAAUGAGCCUCGAAACGUGUCGUUGUAGACCGUGCAAUCUUGAAAUCAAACUUAUCCCUAAAGGCAACCUUGCGCAGUUGUAAUAUUAACUCAUUCUUCUCAGCAAAUAGUUUACCCACACUGAUAUCAUUUGAGUCACAACUACUAAGAAAGCUUGGAGCAACCAUGUUUGAAGGCAAAAUUGGAGCAAGACUUGUGAGGGGGUUAAUCCUCUUUCUCGAUCAAACCAUUGGAGGAAUAGAUCCAUUGUCUCUGUUAUUCACAGGAAUAUCGUCUUCACACUCAUCCUCAUGCUGAAACGAUGGGAUAUUGGAAGGACUGGCUCCUCCAUCAUCACCUGCAUUAUUGAAAUGAGUGUCCCCCAUACUAUUAGAAGGUUCUGCACAAACAUUAUCCCUAUCUGUCUCAUCAUGAAGAUCAUCAUUGUCCCGAAAAUUAUUGUUGGAUACGGAGAAUACCGUUGCUCCAACGACGUCGUUAGUGGUAAUACAUUUUCUCUAACAUCCUCUAACGUAAUGUCGUUGUCAUCAAUGUUGUCAUAAUUGUCGCGGAUUGGAGAGUAAUAUUGUGCAGCGACAUUGUCCUUAGUAACACAUCUUCUUCAUUAUCGGGGCCAGACAUAUUUGCUCUAAAGGAAGUUUCCGUUUUGACAUGUGGCUCAACAUCUUCAUUCGAAACUCGAGGUGAUGUGGUAACAAAUAUAGGAAUGAAUCCAUAGUUGGCCACAUUGGAUGCCAUAUGGAAUACAACCCUCACCAUUUCAUCAUCAAAUAUAUCCAUGGGCAGUGCACAUAUACAAUAUAAUGUGUUACUAGACCUUAAAGUUGUCUUCAUUGUAAUACUAUAUUCAUUAGGAUUUAUUUGUAACACCUCGUAUACUCUUGCUAAAAACUGAUAAAAAAGACAAUUUUUUCCAACCAAAAAAGUUCUAUUUUUACCAUUCACAUACUCCAUACGACCAUCCUCUAACGUCUCACACCAACCAUCAUAACACAAUUCAAGCACAACUGAAUCUAUUAACCCUGAAAUUAUUUUAAAAAAAUUAAUUGCGUACUAUCAAAUUAAUAAAGAGUCAGUUGCAAUGAAUCUGCCUCUUGGUGCGACAUGCUAGCUUCGUGCGAUAGGGUGUCUGUCGCACAAAAAGGCAGAUUAUCCACGAAGAAUGUCGCAAGAAAUUUGUGCGACAGGUGCAUGUCGCACCAAGCAAUCGCACUGAAACUCUCUCACAAGUUCAGAAAAUAACUUAUACCACUCAGUGAUGCGGAUUAGUGUUAGAUCCGGAUGUAUUAUGAUUGGAUUUCACUUUUACCGUUCACCGUCAGCGUUUGUCGUUGCCUUUUGCCGUCGUCGGUGAUGAUUCAAGAGUGCAAAGCUGCGUUUGGUUUGAUAAAAAGAGAGAGAAAAAAGUUAUUUUUGGUUUAUAAAUAAGGAUAAUUUGGAGAGAAAAACUUAUAUUUAGCUAAUGUUGAUAGAAAAAAGUUUAGAGAGUUAAUUGUAAAAAUAACAAAAAUUUAAAGAAUUAAUUGUGAAAAUAACAAAAAUUUUAUGAUUACUUUUGUAAAUUUCCCUCAAAUUUUCGUGUAGUAUAUACCAUAUUAUCAUACCAAAUGCACUAGUCCCACUAUAACGAAAAAAUUUGGACGUGCAAUGAAGAAUUUCUCUUUAAUUAAAAAGUAUUGUCUUAAUUAAUUUUCUGUAGAGAGUGCAAAUAUGAACGAGUGAUAUGGGGAAAUAAAAAUCUUAUCAAAAGAUCCAUUCAUGGGACUAAAGCUGUCUAGUCCUAUCUUUCGUUAUUACGCAGAAGUAGGGAGCUUUUGAUUAGAUUUGUGAAAGUUGACGUGACAGAAAGGGAAUGAAUCAAGUGAUACAGCUAGAGGGAGACAAAAGAGACCCGUAUUUUCUUAAAGCAAAAGAGAAGAAAAGUUAUUUCAUCAACCAACGAAGAAAUCAAUAAGAAAGAAAAACCAAGGCCUCUUUCAAAUUCUCUAUUGGAAAGAGAAGAUCAAACUUGUUAGUUGUUAGAUGUACGCAUGGACUGAUUGAAGGAACAUAUAUUUGAUAAUUUGAAAGCUUGAAUGCGUACAUGCAUGAUGUCCUUAUUGCAAGAAAAAUAAUAAUAAUAAUAAUAAUAAUAUAAAUGUACUUAACAAUAUAGUAAUCCGACAAUAAUUUGUUUCUUUCAAGAAUUUACAUGGUUUCAUUAGCUUAAGGAAUAUGUGUUUUCUACUUUAUUAUAUCUUUAUUUUUUUAUUUUUUUUUCAAAAAUUGACUAUGGCAUUUUAUAUAUCUUCACUUUAAAUAAAGGUGAUUCGUGGGUCAAGAUUAGUGUUACCUUUUGUCGCUUCCCUUGGUUAUAGCAAUCACUGGAGCAAAUUAAUUAAAGUUACUUUCGUCACUCCGAAAAUACAAACAGCCUUAUAUUUUUCAGUAGGUAGAUCUUUUCAUGGAUUUAGAUACAAGGAUUUUGCUCGUCCAAGACAUCGUUCUGCUUGUAGAUUUGAAGUUUCUAAGCUUCAAAUUUGACAAGAAAUACCAAGUAUAAAUCGGUUCUUAUAGAAGAUCUAGAACUCCCAUUAGUUGUUAAGAGGAGAUUCUUAAAAAGAAUGUUAUUAAGGACUAUUCCAGGCGGUGCCCUGAUAUAUUAUUUGCCUAGUUAGUGGGGAUAUCCGUUAUUUAUAUCUAGUGCUCUAGUUUCGAUCCUCCCAAUUUAACAGUAAUCAAUUAAUAGUUCAGUCAAUUUGUUUAUCAUAAUAGAUGAUGUGUAUAUGUAUUGAUAUAAAUAUAUAUAAUAAACCUCUUUAUACUGUUAUCUUUUAUGAUAGAAUGUAAUUUUUAUUUACUUUAGGGUGCAUUUGAUAACUUGUAUUAUAUUAUAUUAUAUUGCAUUAAAAUAUUAUUUCUUAUGUAAACCCAUCUUUGGCCAUAACUUUUAAUUGCAUUGCACUGCAUUAAAAAGGUGGUUAGAAUAAUGGAAGGAACAAAAUCAUGGCGAGUAGGGUUUAUGCUGGCUGUAUUGUGUUAAUACUAUUCAUAUUUUAAAUGUAAUCUUUUACUUUCUUUACUCAAUAAUUUAUAAUAAAUCUUAAAAAUUAAUUUAUAUUUAUAGUCAAAUAAAAUUUAAUUUAAAUAAAAACAUAAAAUAGUAAUAAACCUAAAUAUUUAAUAAAUAAAUAAAUGAUAAUGCAUUAUUUUUACUUUUAUUAAUAAAAUCACUUUAAUUAUUUUACUUUAAAUAUGUAAAAAGUAUUUUAAUUAUUGAAUCAUUAUUAUUUACCAAAAUAUUGACUUUAAAAAAUAAAUUUAAAUUAAAUAAUUAUAUUCAACAUUAAUAUAUAAAAAAUAAUUUAUAAAUGAAAUUGAAAUUUUAAUAUUAGACUAUAUUAUAAUAUAAUGUAAUGUAAUUUAUAUUAUAUAAUUAUAUCAUAUUGUAAUUCAAUAUAAUAUUAAAUUAUAAACUUCAUUUAUAUAAUGAUAACUAAUUUAUAAAAAUAAAUUAUAUUAUGGUAUAAUAUUGUAAUAAUAUAGUACAUUAUUUUAUUAAUUGAUAAUAUUAUAUUAUUAAUUUAUUUUUAAUUUUUAGUGUUAUUAAAAUUCCUAUAUAAAAUUAAUUGUUCAGUAAUUAAUUUAGAAAAUUGAUAUUAUAACACAAAAAUAUUAAUAAAAUUAAUAAUACUAAUUUAAUUUUAAUAUUAAUAAAAAAAUAAUGUCACGAAAUAGUAUUAUAUAUAAUAGAAUCCAUACUACAUCAUAUAUUGUACUGCAUUACAACUUAUUACAAUAUAUCCUAAUAUGAUACAUCGUAAUACAAUAACAAUUAAUAUAAUAUAAUACAACACACGAUGCUAAAUGCACUCUUAUCAAAAUAAAUUUUCAAUACCAUCCACUAAACCAAACGUGGUAUAAGGUCAUUUGAAAACCAUACAUUAAUACCAGAUCCAUCCUGUGUACUACAGUUAAGUGGCAGGCUUAAACUUUUAAAGGUCAUGAGUAUCAAAGAAGAUGAUGAUAUGAUGAUGAUGAUGAACUGUUGUGACAAUUCACUACUGUGCUGUGAAAAAGAAAACGGAGAGCAAGAAAAGAAUCACCUAUUCAUAAAUUUAACUGUAGAUCUUUUUCUACACAGGAACACACCAAUAACUAUCAAAGCACUGCCAAAACUUACCUCUCUAUAAAGUGGACCUGCAUGAACAGCAACAGCUCCGAGAUAAUUAGAUAAAGACAUGAAAACGUGGAGCCCCAGCUGUGGGGCUCUGUUGGCUGGGGCUCUUUCUGAAGCAACGUAACAGUACAUGCACAUACUCUGAGUUAUAUUGUAGCUUGAGAUGACACUUCGAUGGCUUCUUUUACUUUCCUUGAGUCAUUUCUCUCUCUCUAGUCACACCAAUUCUCUCUCAGAAAAAGCUGUCGCCAAGAUCCAUUCCUUUCCAAAAAAUUUUUUUAACAUUUUCCUGCAAGAGUUUAAGUGCUAUAAUAAAGUGGGGGUUAAUGACAUUAGGAUCUCGGAAUUUUUUUAAUUGUAUAAAUUGCAGUAUAGGUUAUAGAUUUGAACAAAUAGGUCCACAACGAGUCACUGUUGCAAACUUGCAUUUUGACUAUCAAUUUGAAAAAAGAAAAAAAAAAAAACAGUAUAGUGGGAUAGUUUCUCAACUCCCUCCCCUUCUAUGAGGCAAUGCAUUUAAUUUUUCUCAUGAAUAAGUAGGUGUUUUUCUAAAAUGCUGUACAAAGCAUCUCAUCAUAAAUAUUAGAUAAAGUCUUUAUUUUUUUUCCUGUAAAGAGCAUUCUAGACAUUUUAACAGAGGACCUAUUUGUUAUAAAUUGAAAGCUAUGUCUUUAUUUGAAAAAUACUAGAAACUGAUUGAUCCAAAUUAUUUAUUUGAAAUAUGCCAAGCUAGAUAUCUUCCACAAAGAGAGAAAGAGGGAGAGGCUAAUCAUUUGAUUUGAUUUGAUUUUUUUUUUCUCAUAAACAUAGUAUAUGUUCUGUCCAUCAACUGAAAACACACUCCCUACCACACAGUAAGAGGGGAAAGAAUGGCAUUAAGUGCAAUACGUACAAAAAGGCCAAAGCCGAAGCAUUAAAUUUACAGGUUGAAAAAUCAUCUAAAACUGAAAUCUGUUAGCCAGCUCCACAAAGUGAAAAUGCUCACCUAUAUGGCUAUAUCUCAUUACUUAUUCUCUUUAAUUUUAAUCAUCCAAGAGGAUCCAAGCUAGCUUGCUAGGCAGCCUAUAUGCUACCUAGUAAAUGCUAAAUGCUAAAUUGCUAAUAGCAUACCAACCCUUCAAUUGUCCAUUUGCUUUGGACCUUACAAAAGGUUUUUAUCUGCUGAUGAUCAUGACAAGAGGUUGACAAUACCCAAAUGGAUAGUAAAUGCCCUUGCAUUAACUAUUACCUCUAGCUAAUUCAAAACGGUAGUGCUGACCUUUCUCUUCCAGUUCGUCAGGAGGUAGCAUUCUCUUACAAACAUCUUUCAAGUUGUUACCUCCUUCUUGUACAGCAUUUAAAGAAGGGGUGUGUCUGUAAUACAGCCAUAUAUCACAUCUGAGAAAAAAAAUGUUAUAAUAAAAGUAGAUGAUAUAAAUUACUUGAUAAUAAUUAUCUUGAACAUUUACGAGUUUCUGGGUUUGUCAUAUCCCUUUUGCCUAAAAAAUUAACUCUCUCAACUAUGGAUGUUUGUAAUUUAAGAAAAUAUGUGCGAACAACUCUUCAUAAAAGAAAAAACUAUCUAACUCCUUACAUAGAGAAUUAGAAUGUGAAUGCAUUGAAAUUGAUCAUGAUUACCUAUAUCAAUUCUUUAAGUAGAGGGUGCAUUUUGAGAAAGUGCAAACUAACGUAUCACACAUGAGAAAUAGGGUGCAUUUUGAGAAGGUGCAAACUAACAUAUCACACAUGAGAAAUGUUCACUUACAUAAAAUUAGACAGAAAGAUUGAGUGCACAUAAAAUUAGAAGAUAUGGAGUGUAAUUGACAUUGAUCUAUUGAAGUUCUAAAAAUAAUAAAAGACAUCUAAAGUACAACAGAAAGCAAAAGGGGAAGAGGAAGGGGCCGGAUAUAGAUCAUAGAAAGCAAGAAGAAACACAAAAACAAAAAAGAAAAGAAAAGAACUACAAAUGGCUCUCAAAAUACUUUUUUUGCUUAGUAUAAGUUUUACUUCUAGAGCCAUGAAGAGUACUGAAACUCAGUGUUAACAAAAGGAUCUAGAGAAAGGCCUUAUUUCAAUCUAUGUCCCGAGAUGAUUCAUUAUUAUCUUGCUCAAUUUCAGAGGCUGGCUCGUCAUCUUCAAAAGUAUCUAUGCCACAAGAUGCAUGGCCAUUCCCAAAUGCCUUGAUGUGAUCUUUGAGUGACCUUUUGUGCUUGAAAUCAGAGCCACAAGUGCAAUACCAAAGCUUGCCGCAAUUCUUCUCAUGGGUUCUCCAGUCGCCUCUUACAGCAAAGGCCUUGCUACAUUUUCUGCACAUGAAAGGCUUGAUUCCAUGCUUUCUCUUGUAAUGAGUUUGUAGGGUUCUAAAAUCUUUGAGAGGCUUUGAUCUUGGAUGGUCAAUGUUGUUUCUGCAACCUGGAGCACAGCAAUAACAUGGAAGCCUAAGCAUUGCUGUUGGUUGUGAUCCCCUUAAAGAUUCUGGCCCUUUUCUGUAUUGAGAUCCAUGCCCCCACAUAUGCAUCUGCAUGUAUUCAUAAAUUUAAGCGAUAUUACCCAUUAUUAGGGUUAGAAAAAACCAAAAAAAAAAAAACAAAGAUUAAAUCUAGUGUAGGCAAAAGGAAAAGUACACACAAAAUAAUGAUGAUAAUUACACGUUAAUUAAUAACACACAGAAUCGAGUUUAAGGACCUUCACAAGUUAAAGAAAGAAAAAGCAAACAAAUGCAUCGAUUGAAUUAACCAAGGAAUUAUGGUAUAUGGGUUGGGGUCUAUGCAUUGUCUCAAAAUAAGAGGUAUAUUUGAGACUUAUCUAAAUUUAAAAAAAAAAUCAUUUGGACCAUUUGUGGAUUAAGGGUGCCUUUAAAGAGAAAAACACAGCAGAAAUUAGGGGUUUUAUGUGCAUAUAUAUUGCAUGAACAUUUUAGUAACGGCUCUUCUAACAAGUUUCCUUAAUUAUAAUUAAUAGCAUUAGAAAUUUUGUUGGCCUUUUCCAUGUGAAUAUAAACAAUUUUGUAAGCCUAGAAGAGAAAGGGUGUAUCGAUAAUCGUUCUUUGCCCUUUAAUUUGCAUGCAUUUUCUCUUCACACAAAAACAAAUGGAAAACAAACAGACAUGUGUUAUUUAACUUCACAAACUAAAAGUUUCAAAAAAUUUGUUUGUAUUCAUUGAACAUAAAUCUAUAAACAAUUUUUUUAUGGAGCAAGGGAAAAUUGGGUGGUUUCAUCUUUGUUCAUUAGAAGAGCAUUAAUUGAUGAACAGAACUCGGAUACACUCAGUUUUCAAGCCUGACAAUAAAAAAACACAAACUUCAAGGUAAUACAAGAACAUAUUGGCUGAGUAGUUCAAUCACAUAAACAGAGAGACUGACUGAUCUUAUUCUCAGUUUGGACCAUGUUGAUUUAUUUUUAUUUUUCAAAUCCCAAGACCCAAAAUCAUGCAAAAGAAAAGGGUGCAUAGGCUUUGAAUUUUUUUUAAUAAAAAAAGGAGAAAUGGAAUUAAAGUCCAAUAAAGGAAAAGGGGAAACCCUAAGGUCCCAUAUACUCCUCAUUUUCAAAUCAGUCCAGCUUGUAGUAAAAGUGAAAGAUUGAAAUCAAGCUAGAAAAGAAGUGUACAAAUUAAUAAAGGAUAUAUAGGAAUGAGAUUAAUUUUUUCGUUUUUGCAAAAAUCAAAAAGGGAGAAAAAAAGAGAAAGGGAUAGAUGGAGUUAUCUAAAGGAACCCUUUAUAGAUCAAAGGAGGUAUUAUAUCAAGUAAUUAAUUAAAUUACCUGCAUGUUGUUGUAUCUGUUGAAGGUUUUGAAGCACAGAGGACAUGAAAAUUGUGUAGGACCAAUCAAUAUUUGAGCUGGUGUAGGGAUCCAAUAUUGGCCUUUGUUGAGGCCGCAGCCACCACCACAACCAGAAGCAAUAGUUACUACUUCUUCUUUAUUAUUGUUAUCAUUAUUAUAAUCUGAGAUCAAAUCAGCAGAACUUGAUUUGGCGAGCCCCAAAUGAAGAGACACUGUCAGAGAAGCGCUUUCAUGAUGAUCAUCACAAUAAGCAGCAGAGCUUUCUUCGGUGUCCAUGACACUGCAUGAGGAUUCAUCAGCUUUUACUAUUCCGUCAUUCCUUGCUGGGCUCAAACUGAGGAGGGGAAGUGCUUCUUUGAGAGGAGGAGAUGGAGGUGAUGAAUAUUGAUGGUAGUGAGUACAAAAAUUGUUAUUGUUAUUGUUACUUGAGUGGAUAUUGAAGGCAAAAGGUGUAUAGUAAUUAGAAGAAGGGUUAUUAGAAGAAGAUGAAUGUUGAAGAGCGGCAAAGUUUAACCAUCCAUUGAAGUAAUUUGAGUAGGGAUCAGCCAUGAUUGAUGGAAAGGAAAGAGAGAAGAGAAAGUUUUGGUAGAUGGGGUAAGUUAUAACAUAUUUGGGGAGAGAGAAAGAGCGUGUGAAGGGUGAAAGUGAGAAAAGAAAAAUUUAAACAAGAUCAAGGGUUGAUAAAGUAGAGAUCCAAUAUUGAGUAAAAAAGGAGGGACAAGAUGUAUGUAUAUCACUUAUGAAAUGUGACUAAACGAUAGAGGGAAAAAAAUAAAAAUAUUAUGCUAAAGCAAAGGAAGAGAAGAUAAUAAUAAUCUUAUCGGGACUUGAAAAAACAAGUUAUUUAUUGAAUAGUGUGUGUGAAAAGAUUGAUAACAUCAAUAUAUGAAAACUAAAUAUUAUAAAAAAAAAAUUAGGGCAAAGACAAAGCUUGUAAUUAGGGGUUUGGGGAUUUGUCUGUUACAAGAUGAAUCCCAUUAUCCAGCAGGACAAGACUAGAACAAGUGCAAUAUUACAUAGAGGGGAGCAAAGGGUAUGUGUUGGAUUUAUUAGAAAGCUCUUGUUCACAUAUUCAUGAGCAUAAUUUUCUCUUCAUUGGGAAAUAAAUAGAUGCAAUGACACCCAGCAGUUGCUUUGGUGGGCGCGCCUUGGUCGGCUUGGCUCAGUACCACAGCUCAUGAGACUGAGACUGUUGUUGUUGUGUGUGUUGUGUGUUGUAUGAACAAGUAACAACAGCAGUGUCUGUCGAGUACUCACUUACUACGCUUACUACGCUUAUCUUUCUCUUUUCUGUUGCUUUGCUCACCCUUUCAAUCUGCUGGCCUUCACAUGGCUUCCAUUCAUUGCUUCUGCGAGUGUUGUGAGGUCUCUAGUGUCAAUAAAUGGAGGCAACAGACUUGUAAGUUCAUAUCAUUCUUAAUUUUAUCAUAAAAUUCUUAUGGUACAAACUUGUAUCUAGUGUGACCCAAACAAAUUGAUUGUAAAAGAAAAUCGUUUCAUAAUUCCAACCAGAUUUCUAGUUCCCUCAUAAUUUUUUUUUUUUUUAAUUUUGUGAACAUCCGGCUUUGGAUGAAAUAUUAAAAAAAUCCAAAUGAGUUUGGAUCCAAUAUUGAUCUUUUAAAAACACGAUCAAAAUUUAAUUACAUAUACUUUUGCAAUAAAAGUUUGACUUUGUAUAGAAGGAUAAAUUUCAUAAGUCGAAAAUAAAGAGUUAAUUUCGGAUGAUGGAGAAUCCCAAGGAUAUAAUAAGGAAAAUCAAGAUUAACAAUUUAACGAUUCAACAGCAUAUGACUUUCUUGAAAAGUGAUUAUGGUAGUUGUAAUAUAAGGAUAGUAAAUUAUUAGUAUUCGGUUGAAGUCUUAACACCUAUAGUUUUGAUGAUUAACCGCUAUCAUUAUUUGAAAAAGGUUAUUGUUUUAUGAUUAAUUAAUGAUUUCUAUUAUCUUUUGGUGGGUCAUUAAUUUGACUAGCAAUUUUUAGUAAAUUAUGAUUAAAGAUCUCACAAGUCAUUAAGAUACAAAUUAUUGCAUUCGGUACAUGUGGUUCAAUACCAUGAAAUAUAACAAAUUAUUACCAUUACAUUUUAACUUCUUUCUUUUGCACCUUAAUUAUAAUAAAGAGGGAGAGGGAUGUCUUAUUCUUGUUGCAUGUGUACAGAUCGAAAAUAAAUUGCGAUGGGGUCCUCCAAUUUGGAGAAGAAGCCAUGAGAUUUAUGACAAUAUGUGUUAGCUAUACUAGUUGUAAUUUCAGGAGACAAAUUGGAGGGUUGGGAAAUAUUUAUAUGGUGGCCAAAACAACAAUGGUACCAUAAAAUUAGGCUUUACUCAGCUUUAUAAAGUUGAUCACCUGCAAUGUGUACAAAACAUUCAAUAGUUGUGCUAAUAAUCAUGUGUAGGGGUCCUAGGGGAGAUGGAAGCCAGAAAUUUUUGCUGUGGGGCUAAUCCAUCUAAAAAAUAAAAAUAAUCAUUAUAAGAAUAUAACAUUGAUAGUUUUUCUUCAUUAGAAUACUUAAUUUCUUCCUUGAUGUAAUUUUCUUUUCAAAGAUUUGUGUGAUAACUUUAUUAGUAUUAAUACAUUUAACUCAUUGGUAACACACAUGCUUUUGAAAAAGUAAGUAUUAGACAUGCUUAUUUCCUCUCCUAAUUUAAGUCUCAUUUGGAUUUGAGGUUAAAACCCAAUAAGCUGCUUAUUUCAUAAUUUUUGAAAAAAAAAAAUGUACAGUUUAUUUUAUAAUUUUUCCUAUUUUGAUAACAACUUUUAAAGGUAAGUGGGGUUGCUUUCUAUAGGCAACUUAUUAAACAAGUCGCUACAUCUUUUUAAAGUUUAUAUUAUAAUCUUAGUAUUUUAACAAAAAGAUAAUUAUAUCUUACUUUUACAUAAUCCCUAAUAUAUAUACACCAUUAGAUAUCAUAUUACUACCGCAAUCAAACUACCGCCACAAUUAUUGUAUAUUCUUUCUAGUAUCAAUGUAAUGAAAAUGUAAUAUAUAUUACUUUUUAUUAUAUUUGGAUUAUGUAUAAGUAUGAAUUUUUAUCAUAUGUUAUGUAACAAUAUGUAACAAAUUAUGAAAUUCAUUAGAUUUUAUUUAAUUGAGUUUUUUUCACUUUAUGUAAUUUUACGUAUUUAAAGAAAAUGUAUGUCUAAACAAUUUAUUAAACAUACUCUAAAAGACAAAAGAUAAUUUGAGCUUAUGUCUAUUUGUUCAUUGUAUAAUAAAAUAACACUUUCAUAAUAAAAUUUACCAAAUAUAUGUACUAUACUUUUCAAACUCACAGCAAUUGCAAUAACACAGUUUAUCAAACAUCAAACUGUUUUUUUAAUUUGCAGCUUAUUUAAUCAGCCACCAUAAUAUCAAAUUGGCCCUUAAUUGGGUAGAGAUAGAUAUCUCCUCUACCAUUGUGUAAGAUAUCCCUCCAAUAUUAAGUGGGGAUAGAAAUCUGAACUAUGUCAUAAUAGACUUGAUCCAAUGUAGUUCUAAAAUAUAUGUAAGUAUUUUAGUCAUUCAAACCUAGGGAUGACAAUAAACUCCGGAUCCGCAAAGAUUCAGAAUAUCUGGAUCUACAUGUUAAAAAAUACGGAUCCAAUUCUUAAAAACCAAGAUCCGUGCGGAUUCGGAUCUGAAUCCGCAUUAUUUUAUAAUUAAAUUAUUUAUUUAUUAAAUUUCAAUUGAAAAUAUAUAAAUUAAAUUAUUUACUUAAUAUGUAUAAGCAUAAUUUACUCUAUAAUCUUCAUUGACUAUGAAAAAUAUGUUAGAAACCAAUAAUAAUAAUAAUAAUAAUAAUAAUAAUAAUAAUAAUAAUAAUAAUAAUAAUAAUAAUAAUAAUUAGAUAAUAUUGUAAUGAAUCGAUUUACCUUAGAUUUUUUUUUUAUGUUUGAUUUAUGUUGUGAAAUUAUCGUUUGUGAAUUUAUGGUGUUAGUACGUUAUUUAUGUUGAAUUGAUGUUGAAUUGUUGAUUGUUAAAUUAUAAUAGAAUUUUAUUUGAUAUUAGUUGGUAAAUUAUUAAAUUUAUUAUUAUGUGAAUUCGGAUAUUCAGAAAAUCCGCCCGCAAUCCGUGCGGAUAUUACCCGCAUUUGGAUCUGCAAAAAAGUACGUGGAUCCAGAUGCCAAAUGUUCAAUGCGGAUGCAUAUUCGGAUGCCAAAUGUUCAAUGCAAAUUCGGAUCCGAAUGCACCUACAUCUGGAUCUGGAUCUGAAUUUUACCAUCCCUAUUCAAACCUCAAUAUACUAAAUUAAGAUCAAUCAUCUAUUGAUCUAAGCUUAAUAAUUGUCUUUUUUUUUUGUUAACUCUUUGAUCAUAUGAUAGUUCAAAUUCUAAUCAAAAGAAAAUCACGGACUGAAAUACUAGCAUCAAGAACGAUCUAAUCAAAUAAAUCAAUUAAUACCCAAGAAACAAUUACUUAAUCUAAUAAAGUGACACUUGCUAGUGUGAAUUGUGGAAUUAGUUAUAUAUACUCAGUAAAUCUUUCUUUUCAUUUUAAGUCAAUUCAACAAGACUCUGGAGCCCAUAAUUGUUAAAAGUGUUGUAAAUUUUUUCCCUGUACACAAUAGGUUGAACAACUUGGUAAUUGGUUAUGCAUUAAGGUUUGUCUUUUGUUUUCUAGAGACUACAAGUAGCUUGCUUUAGAAGUUGUUUGUAAAAGCAAGAGGGACUGAAUGUAAUAAUACAUGUCAUUCCUUGGAGUGUAUUUGAUAUUUCUUGAUCACUUUUUGAGCUAAAACACAGUAAAAUCUCCAAGAAUGCUUAAUCAGUUGGGUUUAUAUGAUUCUUUGUUUAUCAAAACUCAAAGCAAAUAGAAUAAUUUAUUGCUAUUUACAAUUUAUGUAUGUAAUAUGUGAGUCUUAUGUGGAUUCCCCACAAACAAUUUAUUGUUCUUCAUCUAGAUUAGGUACAUAAUUUCUCCAAUGAUGGAUUUUAACAUAAAAAUAAGAGUUAAGACCUUACACAAGAGCAAUCAGAUAAAUAAGAAACAAUUUAUCUUGUCAAUUCUCCUCUCUCCCUUCUUUAAUAAGAUAGGUAUAUACUUUAUCAGCCAAGUCAAAGAGGGCAAAGCAAUUGAUUUCAUGUUAGCAAAACUUUUCUAACUUGAUACUCCUGCUCAUAAAAUGCUUUUAUAUUUCUGGUCAUUAUGUGGCAAGAUACAAUGUAUAUCAUGACCCCUAACAGAAAAUAAUGAAAAUAUAGGCCAUGUCAAAGUCACCCUUUUCCAGUAACACAUCAGCAAACUUAAAAUGCUUAAUUGAGAUUUCAAUGUAUCAGCAGACACUGGUACUUGGAUAACAUAGGUGCAUAUGAGAUUAUGCCAAUAAAUGCCCGAAAGCAAUGCAACUAAUUUUUUGUCGAUGAAUAAAUCAAGAUGCCGCUAGGUGUUCAUCGCUUCAGUGGUUUUAUGAAAAAUGAAGUUAAAGGAUACUAUUUCACCAGAAACUGUACACGUCCCCAAGAGCACAAUAAAGUUGGUUAAACAAGUAUAACUAACAUCUAGAACUGAAAAUAAUCUUGCAAAAAAGACUUUAGUUCCGAUGACCAACCCCAAAGUGAAAUCUCCUUGUCUGCCUGUCAUUAAAUGCAUACUUAAGUCCCAAAGGUCCCAGAGGAGAAUCAACACGGAUGCCAAACCCAUGUCCAUACCCACUUCUAGGCUUCAACCUUGCUCCAGCAGGAUCACCUGAUGAAGUUGAAAAAAGGGAACAAGAUAAGGCCAGCCAGAUUUAAAUAAAAAAACAUUUUGAAAAUAAGUCCUUUCACUCAUUAAACUGGAAACAUAGAAAACAUGGGGCCCAAUCAUUAAGAAACCUACCGGGCGGGCACAGUAGGGCCUGAUCCAAGUUCUGUUCCAUGGUCAGAAAAGAUAACUCCUUCUGCUGGCCCCAACUGCAAAACAGGAAGAAACAUUAGAGGAGAAAUGUGCAAAAUACAUUUUUUUCCCCCAGCAUAAGAAACAUGAGUACAUUGACAGGGGAACAUGUAGUCUCAAAUUCGUAGAGAGAUCAUCAUCAAACCCUUUUGAUCACAUCUACAUGCGUUCUCCAAGUGCUUCUUCACAUUCCUCUUGUAGAAGUCUUCAAUUUAGAGUAGCUCAGUAAUAAUUGUUGCUACCAGUGAGGAAAGUAGAGUGGGCCCAUAUAAGGGGGGAGACAAUGGCCCCACCCUAGAAUAGAGAACUUUUGCGUCUAUAUUUGCAGAUAGGCUCCUCAGAAGUCUAUUAAUAUGUCAGGUCCUCCAAGAAUUUUUCAAAGUAUUUUGAAGACUCUGUCAUAAACAAAUAUAUUAUAUAGUCCUCAAGUUGCCCCAUUUAUUCAAAACUGUUUGUGACUGUGCUUGUUUCAACAAGUACCUUGCCCUCAAACUAUGUUACCUUUAACUUCUAACAAAUGUGUACUUUUAUUGCCUUAUUCUUUCUUCGUCUAAUCAUCCAUUUUCCCCCCAAAAAUUCUCAUUUCAGCAAACAGAAUACCGUAAAAGAAAUUGUUGGCCGCCCACCGCUCAAACUGAGAGCAUCAAGGCCUUAACUAGAUCAUGUGAAAGUGUCCUUGUAACUUAACUAGAUCAACACCAGCCGAAUCAUUUUCCCACAACUGUAAUCACCACUUCAACUUUUCCAAUUAAAAAUGAAUAAUCAAGAAAAUGGAAAAAAUCUUCUUCGUCUACAAUUCUCAUUUUUGGAGCCUUAAACUUGCAGCAAAAGUUGUUUUUCUGAGCACUAAUAUUACUUUUUGUAAUAUAAUCUUCGUUCAUUUCUCUAAAUAUAUUCAUAACGUUUAAGUCACAGAUUACGUGUGAUCUGCCUGUCUCUGUAUUUGCCGGACUCUCUACCCAGUCUUUAUCUGGAGUUAUAAUAUCUGUCUUGCCUUCACACAAUUCCCCUUGAAUUCAUGAGGCAUAGUUGCAAGCAGACUUAAGCAUCAUGAACAAGCAGUGUUAAGCUUCAAAAUAUUAUUCUCAGCUUUUUAUCUAGAUAAGACAAAAAGAUUGGGUUGUCAUCACAUACCAUCGGAAAAGAGAUCUCGCCAGAGCCAACCACGUAAGAUCGACCGGAGCCCACUGCACCUUCUUCAUAACCUCUCACACUAUUUGUUCCGCCAAUGGCAAAUGCUUCAUGAGGAGAGAAAUUACCUACUACAUGUCCACCGGACAAACUAGCCAUAAGAAACAGUGCGCAUUAGCAAACUGAUCCAAAAAAUCACUUGUUUGGUUUAUCAUAAAUAGCAACUUAAGCAUGGAAGAAACUUUCAACAUGCUAAUCAUCGUCUAUAUUAUGCAUUUCGAAACAUGUUUGAAUUCCACUUUUGCACAACAAAUAAAUAAAAGAGAGGAAAUGGUAGCUUACUUUAAAAGAAGGCGAGCAUGACUUAUAUCUACACCCUUUCUGGCAUGAGCAUUCACUCUAUUGAAGAACAACCACUCUGGCAAAACAGGAAGCACUUGUUCCAUGUUGAAUACAAACUGCAGGGACAGCAAGAAUGAGGGUCCAAGAAGACAGUAGAUAAAGAAAAUACAAAAGGCUAAAUGACUAACCAUUGAAGAACCGUGAUUGCCAGAACCGGUGUAUACACUCUCAAAUUUAGCAAUUAACCUAUCAUCAUGGGUCUUUCCACUGCCGAACAGAAAAAUUGAACAAGCACAAUAUCAAAAACAAGCACAAUGGACAUUGAAUAAUUGAAACCAAUUAACAAAUAGAAAGCAAAAUAAUGAAGUUCAUCAUCUACUUUCAGGAAAGCAUACCUUCCUGUAAAGAGGACUGCUAUAGAAAUCCUUGAUAAUAGGAUUUCCUUUUUCAUCACGAGAACCAGCACGCUGGUAAAAAGAAAAUUUAAUCACAGGAAUUCACAGCUUACUAUAAGACAAAGCAAUAACUCCUCGUAAAUAAAUUGUCAAAGAAGCUUAUUCAAAAUACCUACAAAGUUUUGCUUUAUUGUUUAAUUGACUGACCACAAUAUUCAUAUGAUAACAAACUCCCAGUUAUAAAUAACAGACCAGCAGUUAAAAAAUAAAUAAAAAUAGGUGACACAAUCUACAUUUUGCCAAUUCAGGUCUCGAUAGAAAAAACAUUUCAUCCAGAAAAGAUGUCUCAGCUCAUAUUCAUUGCCUGACCAAUUCUGCUUGGUGCCAAAGGUCAGACAACUGGUAAAGAAAAGAAUGGUUCUGCUGAAGUACCUGAAAAUAAGUCCUGCCGUCCCACUCCAUUUUGGCCUGAUUGGUCGACUGAAUUCUAUACCGGCUAUCACACGUCCAAUGGUCUGACUACUGUUGUCAGGUUGGUUCCUAUGAACAAGCGGUCCAGGGGUUCUUGAAUUCUAGUUAAAACAGCAUACAAACAGCAUCAGUUCAAGCAAUUAUCAGUUGGCACCACCAAGAAAGUAAUUGUUCUUGAUAAAGCAAAAACCAUAGCACACCUGAACCAUCAUAGUUCUUGAUGUUCGUUUGUCAUCUCCUUCAAUCCAAGGGUCAAUGUAGUUUAUGCGAAAUAUAGAAUCAAUUUGGCCACUCUCUAAGGAAAUAUUGAGUUUUUGGUUUCUUCCAAAAACAUUCCUAUGAGAAUAAACAAAGCUGCAAUGGAAAAAUGAUAUAAUAUUAUGCAAACUGCAAACAGAAUGAUCAUGCCAUGUCACAAGAAUCCCGUACAAUAAUAUAUUAUAAGAAGCGCAAGUGCAUGCCUUGCAAGAAAGAUUAGUACAACAUCCUACACAAAAAGAUCUCAUUAGCAUUAAGAAAUCCGCUGUCAUUUAAUUGCAAGAGAAUCUUUUAAUCUUCAUAUGCGAGUACCUAAAAAUCCAUUUAUAUAAUAACUUGCUGAAACUAUAAGGAAUGUAAUCUUCUCAAACAAAUAAUAUUCAUUAGCAUUUAGGAACGAAGAAUUUGUUAAUUACAAGAGAACAUUACAUAAUAGAUACAGUUCUGUAUUACUAGAAAAUUAUACAUUUUUAGAAAGAAGCAUUGUAAGGUUUGAACUAACAAAAUAAUGAUCCACAGACAAUUUUUUAUCAAAUACAGCAAUGUAAUCGAUCCAACAAUAAAAAAAGAAUUAAAUGAUAGAAGAAAGACCAGAUAAUUUAAGACUGUAACCACAGCUUCCAAUGAGUCUGGAUAAAGGGCCACUUGUGAUCCUGUAAAUCAAAAAACAUUUAGUUUAUAUAGUUUCCACAAAUGACUUAAUUUUGAUGUACAAGUACAACUAAAUUUGGUAACAAAAGUAACCAGUGCAUUUAAUUUAAUGUCACCUACCCACUUGAUAUACCACCACCAGCAGAAAACCCUCCACUUGGCCGCUCAACAACAUUCAUAAUCAAAUCAACCAUGCUAGUGUCUUCAAUGUUGCCAAAACAAACGAUCUUGCAAUUCAAACACCAUAAAGGAGGACAUCCACAUGCAUACGUCUUCAUGUUGCCAAAACAAACGAUAGUGCAAUUCAAACACCAUGAAGAAGAACAUCCACAAGCAUAAAACUUCCUGAAUAGAUUAUGAACAAUACUUUUUCGAAAUGUUUCCAAACAGAAGAAACUCCCCAAAGACCAAUUCUUUUGGUACACGAGCAACAUCUUCUAGAAAAUAGUCAACUUAUUUGAAAACUAACUAACUUAACAUUUCUUACCACAUAACAUGUAAACAUAAUUCAUGUCAUAAGAUGAUUCAAAUGUUGCAUCUUGCUUUACCUCCUGCAGGUUGAGGAAUAAUGCUAACAUCCUCCAUGAUUCCCAUGGUCAAUACAGUCUCCACAUCUCUUUUCCCUUGAAGCAUGCUGUAGACCUACAAAAAUUAUAUUAGACAUAUAAACUUUAACUUUAUGAGGAUAGAGGAAUGAAUAGUGGAGGAUAUCUAUAAGCCGGCACAUAGAGGAAUGAAUAUCUACAUAAAGGAAUGAAUAUAUAAACCGGCGCAUAGAGGAAUGAAUAGUGGAGGAUCAUGUCACAUAAAAAAAUUACAUAAAACCACCGAUUCUUGUCUUAACUUUAUGACAAAUAAAGAAUUCAAAGAACCAAGCAAUAGGAAACAGUAAUGUUGUGAAACUAAGAAAAUUUUAAAACAUCUUCUUUCCUAAGAGAAGGCAUUAUUAUUAUUAUUAUUUUGAAAAGAAAAAGGAGGAAAAAAGGAAGAGAGGAAAAUUAGAUAAGCAAAACAAAGAAGCCAAAAUUGCAAUUCACAUUUUGCUCUGCCUCAAAAAUUAACAUCAUAGACCUAUUUUAGAUACUCGAUAAGGUGAGCAUAUACACCCAUCCUCAGGAUUACAACUCAGAAGUCUUUAAAAGUUUCAAAGACCAUACCUGUCCCUUCUUGGUAGUAAGUUGUCUAAGAAUUGUUUCAGGCCUCGUCUUCCCUUUAGUUGGCUCACCACUGAUAAUUGCAAAUACAAUAUAUAUCAUACGAAAAUCCUAUGAUUACUGUUUCUAAAGGCAAAAAAGCUAAACUAAAUAUAGGCUUACGUCUUCCUGUCGAGGAAACGGAUGGAAAUAUUAUUGACCUCAGCUUCUGCAACUUGUAAUCUAAUUACUCCUCCAGAAAGAAUUUCAACACCAGAAACCUACAGAAGAUAUCAGAACACAUUACCUGAUUAGCAAAAGCAGCUGUGAUGACAAACCAAGAUAAACUCUACAAAACGAAACUCUAAAUCUCUACAAAAUGGAGCAUGAAUGUGAGACAUAGACAAAGAUAAAAACACUGACCAAGCCAAAUAGACCACGCUCCAUAUACCAGCCAUUGAUUGAAGUUAUCACUUCAUCCAAACGCCUUAUAUUGACAAUUUUUCCUGCACAGCUUGACACCAAAAUUCAAAAUCAAUGAAUGUUCUCCGUGAACCAUUCCAAAUAUGGCACACUAAAGAAAUGUUUUUUAAACAUAAUAGAUAUGCAGAAUAGGCAAGAAGUCAACCAUAACUAUCGCAAAAAGCAUACUCUAGAAACUUUGAAGGAAGAACAUUUGCUCUUCACAUACCAUCCCGUGAAACUCCUGAUUUGGCUCUACCUUGUGCCACAAGAAACCACAAAAAGUAAUCAUCAAAGAAACUAAUUACAACAUAAUGUCUAAGGCAUAAUUUUACAGAAAAGUUAAUUAAUUUUUUCUUAAAAGAUUAUUUUAAAUAUACCUGAAAUAUCAAUCUGAUGCCAUCACGCGCUGCGACGGGCAUACACGAGCAGAAGUAACCGCUAUCGAUGAUUCUGUUAACGUCCUCUUGGACCUCGCGAACAGUCAAUGCUGAGUUGGCAUGGCAAGCUUUUAACGCAGUUAACGCCUCUGUUUCGAGGUAUUUUCUCUCAAGUUCUUCACCGUCUUUAUUUCUCACCAAAACUUCACUUAUCAACACCCGCUCUUCGUCGCUUCGGCUCACCGAGUGCGGCUGCUACUGCGCUUUCUGUUGCAGCUGAGUUGACGACACCUCGGGUUAAGCCGCCGACUCGGACGUCGUCGACUGACUCAGCGACAUCCACGCCGAGCAAAGAAGUGGUAAAUUCACUAACGUCUCGCUGGCGCCAGUCGUUGACAGGUACAUUGAACAGACGCGAGCCAAGUUUCCGUACGCGCGUUCAGCAAAUAAUAGGAGCUUCCGAGUGAGUGACUCCGGCCGAGUUAACUCAGUUGACUGAGUUGACUCAUCAGAGCGAGUUCUGAGUGAGUGAAUUUGAUGAGAGAGAGUUUUUGGAUUCCGUUAAUGUUUGGGCGAAGAAAGGGAGAGGAGGCUGAGGUUGAAAGCGAGGGAUUUUGAGAGGAGAUGAUGUGAACCGAGCGUCGUCGUUUUUCUGAGCCAUUGUCAGAAUCGGGCUGCCUCUGCUGCAAAAUUAAGUGCAAAAAAGGAUUGAAAUUUCGGUUAAUUGAAUGAUGAACUGAAGCUGAAGUUAGUGGAACGCAUUGGAGAAAGAAGAAGCAACAGCAGAUAAACCCGUAGAGGAGCGUGACGUUUCGGCUGAGUAAUAAUAAUAUCUGAGUCACUCAGUUCGAACAAAAUUAUAACCAAGGACAUAAAUUACCAUCAUUUUUAUUUAAGUGCAUAUUUGGAUUAUGAUAAGAUUUUUAAAUAAUCACUUACAUUUAAGAAUUUAUUCUCCAAUUAAUGUUUAAUCAUCACAUAUCGAUUAAGUUUUAAAUAACAUUUCAAAUUAACUAAAUUUGAUAAAAAUAAUUUAGUAAUUUAAUUAAGUGAAAUAUAAAUAAUUAAAUAUUUUUUAUGAAAUUUAUUGUGUUAUGAAAAUCAUGUGUUUUCUUUGUUUUAUCUUAAAUGUACUAAUUUAUUCACACAUUCUUUUAUUAAGUUCUUAUUAUCGAAGUAAUAUGGAUAGACAAAUUCCAAUUUACGAAAUCUUGAUUAUAUAAAAAAAAAAUUCCUCUACAACAUGCUCCAAAUAUUGUUGAUUUUGUAGCACUAUUUCAUGAGUUAAAAUUAACGCUAAUGUUCCCAUUGAAGAAACUAUUAAUAAAAGGUGGCAAUAUAUUUUAAGAUAAUUAAAUAAAUUUAAUAUAAAUAAAUAAAUAAAAUAUUAUAAAUAUAUUUUGAGAGAAUUAAAUAUACUUUAAUAUAAAUAAAUAAAUAAAUAAAUAAAAUAUUCUAAAACUAAUAAUCUCCAACAAAUUCAUGUGAUAAAGGAAUUGAUUCAACAUGAACUAACAUGAUUUGAGGGUUGAAAUCCGAACACAAUCAAUUAUUGAACUAAGAGUAAAGAAGAACUGGGCCUCUGUAAAUAAAUUACAAACUAUGCAUCCAUUUGUGAUUUGUCUAAAUGACAAUGACACAGGUGAUAAUAACCUAAAUUCAAAUAUAUUUUUACUGGAAAAGGCAGUUGGCCACUUCGACCACUCCAAUCUAAAAAUUUUGAGCCGCCACGAGGCGGAGCUCAGACGUAUUCACACGUUACCAAAUAUUUUUCCUUUCCAUGGACUCUGAGUCUGUAAGUAUCCUCAUACGUCCCCGUUUCAUUCAUCAAAUUUAUCGAUGCUUAUUUGUGCUUGUUUAAUAUCUGAUUUGGGGUGAAAGCUAGGGUUAGGGUUUAGGGAAUUUAGGGUUUUUCCAAAAGAAACAAUUUUUUGGGGAAAGAAAUUUGGGAUGUUCGUGAUUGGGCUCUGAGAUUAGCAUGUUUACAAAAAGUUUCUUUCUUUCGAUCGGUUGCUUAGAAAACAGGAAGAAGAGAACAAAAUUUUUGUGUGCUGUCCUCUGUUUUUUUUCUUUCUUUCUUUUUUAUUUGUUUUUUCAGCUAUUAUUUCAAAUUAGAUAUUCAUUAGACACUUUGUAUUUGGAUCCAUGUUUAUCUGUUUAUAAUUUUCUUUCUCCUAAUGAUCCGUAAGCGCACCCAUAGAACCAUGGCAUCAUUAUUGUAAUCCAUUGUACAUGUUAUUGGGGGCAUUCUACACUUUCUUUGCAAACUCACUUUUUUCGUGCUAACUAACCAUGUGUUAUCCAUUUGUUAGUUUAUCUAGUUGAAAAACAAAAUGUCAAAAUCUUGCAAGGGCCUUGCUAUGGAACUGGUGAAGUGUCUUAGCGAAUCUGACUGUGUUAAGGUCAAUCCUACUCUUUCCUGAUCUCUGGUUUUAUCUCAAUUAGCCUCUAUUCACUGAAAUGUUUUGUUGCCACUUAGUCAAUUGGAUGAUGACUUUUGUUGACUUUUUUUUACAAAUUGUGAUUAUAGGUGGAGAAAAGAUCUUUUAGGGAAUGUGCUGGAGAGAAGAGCCCAUGUAUACCAAGUGAAUGUGUGGGACUAAGGGAAACUUAUUUCAAUUGCAAGAGAGGCCAGGCUUGUUCUCUUUUCUCUUCUUUUCAUAUAUGUUUUCUUUUUCUUUUGACUUCCUCUGAAAACUUGUAAGGCUACAAGCUCUGAUUUAAUUGGAACAAGAUAAUCAGUGAUAGCUGGUGAAGUUAAAUUCUUUUACAUUAUAUUGUAGAAAUGGAAUGAUACGUCCUGUAGAGACACCAUAAACUGUAGAAGUACAUGUGCAUUUAUGGUAUUUUUCAAAUAUAUGGUUUCUGGUUUUAUGUAUAAGCUUGACUACAUAAAUAGCUUGAAAUGGGUCUUUGCAUUCAUUUAAGUCUACCUAAGGAACUUGCCUGUUAGUAUCAAUUUUAAAGAAACCUGGUGGAGCUGGAGGAUAGAAGAUAAUUUGUAUUUAGUGACAUGAAGCCAAACUCAUCUUUUUUCACCUUGAUAGUGUGAUGAAACUCAAUAGAUAGUCCAUGUCUGUGUGAGCACACAUGACUGAUUAAGGAAUAGAAUUAUGAAAAUCUAAACUCCUUUUUGUUAUAAGUUAACUAACGCAAGGAACUCAAUACAGAAAAUCGUAAUCUGUAUGAGUACGAUUGAUUAUAGGAUAGAAUUAUGAAAAUUUGAACUUUUUUUCUUGAUAUAAGUUAGCUGAGGCUUUAUUACUUCAGUUUAUCUCACUUGAUUUAUCUAGAAGCCUAUAACCCUACAGGGCAGCUUGAGCACUUUAAACUAGGUAUAUCUCAUGUAUUGGAAAAACUUAAAUUUAUGCCUAUAUAUGAGGAGGGAUAUUAUGAUUUUACACUUACACUUUGUAUGCAAUUUGUAAAUUUAUUCUUGAAGACUUCUCAAAUGUUGAAGUUUUAGCUAUGUUGAACAAUGAAUACUGGUUAUCAUAUGGUCAAUUCUGUAACAUAACAAUUAGACUUUCUAUAAUAUUUGAGUCAACAAGAUCCCUUCUUUUAAUAUUUCAUUCCUUUUCUUCCCCUUUUUGGUUGGUCAGGUUGACAUGAGAGCUAGGAUACGUGGAAACAAGGGUUACUAAAAGCAACUGCAGGAUCAAGCUGUUGGCAUCAACAUUAUACUCUCAGACAAUUGAUGCUUCAAUAAUAAUCAAAAGGGGAUUACAAAGGAAAAAGUAUUCAGGCUUAAGAGACUUGAAGGAAUAUUUUGAUAUGUGAGCUUCUGGUUGCAGUUUUCUUAGGCUUUGUGUACAAAUAAAAAUUUGAUUGGAUAAAAAUGACAUUUUAAGUCAUUUGAGAUUUUUUUCCUCCAUUUGGACAAGAAUUCUUCAAAAUAAUAAUAAUAAUAAUGAUGAUAACAAUAGAUUUAUCUAAAAUAGAAGCAAAUGAAAUUAGAUGCGCAUGUAUGGUAUUGAUUGUAGUUGAGCAUAUAGGUGAAAGAGCUAUUUCCACAUUAACUUGUUUGAGUUGAAGCUUGAUGCAUUCCACAAAUUUUGAUUGUGAACAGAAGAAAGUAACAUGAUAAAACCUGUAAUUGCACUUGUUUAAUUUAUAAUUUUAAUUUUAUGAAAAUUUGAAAGCAUCAAAUAUUUGUUUGCUUAGCAGCGGUGCUUAUUUGGGCAACUUGGUAUUAUGUCCCUCUCGUUACUUGCAUUAUUCGGUGUUGAAAACCAGAAUUGGAACAUCAUAUUUUUGCUUCUGCUGCCAUUUGAUGAGCACAGGUGUCAAAUUCAUAUUGUUGUUCAUGUUAUCUCAUGUAGCUCGAGAAUGCAGGAGUAUAAAGAGAUAAGACACGAGAAUGGUGGAAUCCAAAGUGGAAGCCUUAAAGGCAAAAGAUGGAAUAUUUACCUAAAAGUUAGGAAUGAUGGAGUCCUUUUUAUCUGUUUUGGAUCUUAUAAAGAAUAACACAAUGGUGGCCAUGACUCAACAUGCUAGCUUGUAUUCUUUGGAAUUCGAAGGGAUUAGCCAUAGUGGUAGUGUUUAUAUAGGCAAAAGUAUGUCAGUUACGAAAUCUGAAACGUAAAACUAUCGUUGUAUUAUAACAUUUAGGUUUUUAAGUUAUAAAUUUUGUGGCUAAGAUUACCAAAAUUAUGCACUUUAAUAAUAUUAAUGCUGUAUGAUAUGUAAUUCCUCUUUAAAAUCCUCGGUGGAGUAUGAAAAAGUGUGUGCGCGCGCCCCUUAAGAUAUGGUACGCCCUUACGCGGCACAUGAAUUGAGGAACAAAGUGAGCACGAAGUAGACAUGAAAUGGCAAAAAGGAUUUGAUUGCAGUUGAAAUGGAACAACUUGCUUAUUUUAGCAACCCAUUUAUUUGGGCUAGUUAGACAAUGAUGACCAUUUUGUUUACUCUUAUAUUCUGGGUUAAAGCGAGAAGCAAAGCAUCAUUUUAGUGCUUAGGUUGUCUUCUGGAGUGAGUUUUGCUAUAGUUUUGUUCAUUUGGUAUUGCUCAUUUAAACCAAAAAAAAAAAAAAAAAAAAAAAAAGAGGAAGAUGAACUUUAGGUUUGUCAUAGCAUGAUGAUGUUACAAAGUUUUAAAAUUAUUAGAAUGUGGGUUAUUGUAUUUGAAGCAGUUGUGCGAUGGCAUAGUCCAGAUAUCUGAACUUAGAAUUGAUUAAAAUUGAUCGACACUACUUCUACUUAUUUAGACAAUUAGACGCAUAUUUCAACCUAAAAAAUAUUAGAUCCAUCUGUAAAUACUUACAAGAAAAUUUACUUUCAUAACGCACAGAAGAAGAAAAUAGGCUUAAUAAUUAAGUGACCACCACUUAACUGAUGAGUGGUUUGCACUCACAUAAUGAUUAAAAGAUUGAAAAGGUGGGAUGAAAGCCAAAAAUAAAAAAAGUUAUAAAGAUGAAAAAAGUUGAUGUAAAGUUUUGCAAAGCUAUGGCUCGCUCACUUGGAUUUUGAAAGAAUGAUGAGGUAAUUAAGGGUGCGUUUGGAAUUGAGAUUGAAUAGUUGUAACUUAAAAAUUACAGCAUUAAAGUAUUUGGUAAAUACUAGCUGCUGUAGUUUUUAAGAUAUGUUGAUAUGAUUUUUCACUUGUAUAAUGGAAAAUCUAUUAUAUCUUUAAUAAUUUCAUCAAAAUUAUUAUUUAAAAUUUACACUUACUAUAUAUUACUAAUUUUUAUUUAAUACUUACAUUUUUUUUCCACAGCUACAACACCUCAAUCUCAAACGCACCUUAAGUACUAGAAAGCGAAAGUCUCAACAAAUUUGUAAAUUUUGGUAGCUGAUAAAAUUUUCCUUAUAUUUUGGUAAAUUUGAUUAAAAGAUAUGCUAAAUACUAAAUUGAAUACAAUUAGGUGAAACAUAAUUAUUCGAUUUAUGUUAUGUUUUAUUUUUCUAGCUUUAAUAUGUUCACGUAGUGAUAUCUUGUAAAAUUUCUAAACCAACCUACCGCCGAUAAAUGAUGAAACCAUGAUUUAUGAAUGUCUUUGCUAAUAAGAGCUAUCAUCAUUACUCAUUAUGUCAACACUUCAUGAAAAUACGUUACCAAUUACAAGUCUCCACGUAUUAACUUAUUAUUAACUAAAAUGUUUUCAAAGAUUAAAUAAACCAAAUGACAUUCCAAGAAUCAGGCAAAAUGGUAUCAUACAUGAAAAUUUGAAAUUAGGAAUCUAUCGCCAAUAACAAAUUGAUUAUUUAUUUUAUUUAUGAACGUUUUUAAUCGACCAAAUUGGAAAAGAAACAAAAUUCCUUUCUAUAAUUUUUUAAAGAAAGACAUAAUCUAUCUAUUUGGUAUCAAAUCACGUAAGCCCUUUGCCAUAAUAUUACAAGAGUGUCCUUGCAAUAUAGAUUUUUGUAGUCAUAAAUUACAUGCACAAUGAAAUUUGAGACAUAAGAAUAAAAGAGAAAAUGGUCUAAAACAAAAGGGAAAAAAAGUACAUAUACUUCACUGCUGUAUAUAAAUAUUGAUAUUCCAAAAUAUAAUUACCCCAGAAUAGUGGAAAGGAAAGAAAAGAAUAUUUGAUUUAUAUAAGGAAAUCAAUUUUAGAGUUGUAAAAAACCCACUAGGAGGAAGUCUAAAUGCAUGAGAACAAACCUAAAUGAGGAGCACCCAAUUCAGAAGCCUCUUAUUCACACAAUUUUUUUUUUUUUUUUUGCAUAACUUGAUCUUUAGAAUAAUGUUUUGGGCACACCUUUAUGUCUUUGUUUUUCAAUAUUCUUUGCCAUUAUUUUUGUAUCUAUGCUAUUACCAUUUGUUAUAUUCACUGUUUUCCUUGUUUAUUUAUAAAUUACUCAUUAUUCAAACAUAUAUGUGAAAUUUUCAUACACACAACCAACAAAGAAUUAACACCCUUAAAUAUGAGUAACAUCAUAAAAUAGAAUGACAUGUAGCACUAUUUAUGUGGGAGUGUGAUUCCACUCAAAUUACAACAUUUUACCAUUGUUGGAAUACAAUCUCGUAUCAUGGACCUAUUUGACGCAACUCAGCAAACUAUGAACUUACGUGACAAAUUAUUAAAAAACUAGGGGAGCAGAUGUAAUUACAAUAAAACAAAACCAAAAAGAAAAACAGUGGUUCGCGUCACGCCUGUCCUGGUCCUCAUUCGAAGAAAGUGGGCCCACGAACCAAUAGUCAACGGUCGUCAACACGUAAUCACCACGAUGUUUAAAAUCAAAUCAAACGGUGGUGAUUACGAUGAAACCAAAGGUGGGAAAGAGAUCAAAGACGUUAAGGAUUCAAAAAUUUAAAAAGAUGUUAAAAUAAUACAAACAAAAAAAACUCAACUGUAUAUAUACACCACCAAGGAUUCUCGCGCACUCUGGACUCUCUCUCUCAUUCCUCCGCCUCUUUCUCUUUGACCAAACGCCGUCGUUCCGCACUCUCUCUGGCGCGUCGCAAAUUUCACAAACCCUAACCCUAAAGUUUUUAUAUUUUUGUUUUGUUGCUUUUCUAUCUGAUCGCUCUCUCUGUCACGUGACGUGAUCACUGAUCACCGAUAGCGACCUCGCAAAAAAAGGUAAGGUACCUGCUUGCCGCUUGCUAAUUGCUAUCAAUGUAAUCUCGAAAUAUGUGUCGGUGAUUAUUUGGAUUUAUUUAUUUUGAUUUUAAUACUUGAAAUAUUUAAUCAAAUAUUUGGUUUUUAUUUGAUUUUAUUGUUUAUACGGUUGUUUUAGAAGGGAUGAAUUUGAACUCUGUGAAUGGAGAAAUGGAAGGGGAAAGGGGGGAUGAUGGCCUUAAAGAGCCUUUAUUACUGCAGCAUGUAAAUGGUGUUGCAAUUGAUAUCCCACCACAACAACAGUUUAGUUAUGAUGGGAGUAAGAAAUUGAGGACGGUGAAGUUCAAAAUUAGGGAGAUCAAAUGUGCUUCUUGUGCAACGUCUAUUGAAUCCGUGCUGUCGAACCUCAAUGGGGUUGAGAGUGCUGUGGUGUCACCCCUUGAAGGCCAAGCUGUCGUUAAAUUUAUUCCCGGGCUUAUUACCGUAAGUGCUCUUCAGGAACUUGCUUGAUUUUGGAUUAUGUUGUUUUCCUGUUAGAGUUAUUUCAACAUAUGCACACGGCACACAUGGAGAGAGUUCGUAAAUUCAUGUACCUUGUAAAUGCUUGUGCUUGAGCUCUUUAGCUUGUUCUGUUUCUCAUUAUUAUUAACAUACAUCUUUUACAAAAAUGAAUUUAAUAUUUGCCUACUCUAUCUAGUAUCUAUAGUUAAAAAAUGGAAUUAUUUACAAUUAACUACUAUUUUAGGCAAAACGAAUUAAGGAAACUGUAGAAGAAGCAGGAUUUCCGGUUGAUGAUUUCCCUGAACAAGACAUAGCAGUAUGCCGCCUCAGGAUUAAAGGAAUGAUGUGCACCAGCUGCUCUGAAUCUGUAGAACGUGCCAUUGAAAUGGUUGAUGGAGUUAAAAAGGCUGUGGUUGGUGUAGCUCUUGAAGAAGCAAAGGUCCACUUUGAUCCAAAUCUCACUGAUACAGAUCACAUUGUUGAAGCAAUAGAAGAUGCUGGCUUUGGGGCCGACCUAAUAAGCUCAGGGAAGGAUGUAAACAAAGUUCAUCUAAAACUUGAAGGAUUGAACUCAUCUGAAGAUGCUACUUUUGUUCAAAACUUUCUUGAGUCAACUCAAGGUGUAAGUCAGGUUGAAAUAGAUCUGGCAGAACAUAAGGUGACAGUUAGCUAUGACCCAAACCUCACAGGUCCGAGAUCCAUUAUACAGUACCUUGAAGAAGCCUCUCACGGCCCUAAUAUUUAUCAUGCAAGCUUAUAUACCCCUCCAAAACGAAGAGAAACAGAGCGGCUGAAAGAAACUCAGAUGUACAGGAAUCAAUUUUUUAUUAGCUGCCUCUUUUCAGUUCCUGUCCUUUUAUUUUCCAUGGUACUUCCAAUGAUUCCUACUUAUGGUAACUGGUUAGACUACAAGGUUCACAACAUGCUCACUAUUGGGAUGCUUUUAAGAUGGAUCCUUUGCACGCCAGUGCAGUUCAUUGUGGGCCAAAGGUACUGAGUCUAACUUUUAUAUCAUCUUCUCUUCAUGUUUACUGCUGCGUGCGACAACCUAGGCAUUUGAAUUUUCGAAGAAUUUUUAUGAGAUAAUUUAUGAGAUCGCUUGAUUGUAUUUUUCAGGUUCUAUGUGGGAGCAUAUCAUGCAUUGCGACGAAGGUCAGCUAAUAUGGACGUUCUGGUCGCAUUAGGCACUAAUGCUGCUUAUUUUUAUUCUGUAUACAUUGCCGUAAAAGCAUUGACUUCCAAUACAUUUGAAGGGCAAGAUUUCUUUGAGACUAGUGCCAUGUUAAUAUCCUUUAUCCUCUUAGGGAAGUAUUUGGAGGUUGUGGCAAAAGGGAAGACUUCGGAUGCUUUAGCAAAGCUGACAGACCUUGCUCCUGAUACUGCACAUCUCUUAACAUUAGAUGGUGAGGGAAAUGUAAUUUCAGAAAUGGAUAUUAGCACUCAACUGAUGCAGAAGAAUGAUAUAAUUAAGAUUCUUCCGGGAGAAAAGGUUCCAGUCGAUGGGGUUGUUACAGAUGGUCAAAGCUAUGUGAACGAAAGUAUGAUCACAGGAGAGGCUAAGCCCAUUGCUAAAGGUCCUGGGGACAAGGUACUAACCAUUUUUCUUUUACAUUUUAAUGUAUGUGGCAUUUUAAUAUGUAAAGUGAAGGUUCUUUUAAUGUAAUCAACAGGUUAUUGGUGGGACCAUGAACGAGAAUGGAUGCUUACUGGUUAAGGCCACUCAUGUUGGGUCAGAAACUGCACUUUCCCAAAUUGUUCAACUUGUGGAAGCUGCUCAGCUUGCCAGAGCACCAGUUCAGAAAUUAGCUGAUCAGAUCUCAAGGUUUUUUGUUCCUAUGGUGAGUUCGUCUGUUUCUAUAUACAUUAUACUUUAAACAGUAUUUGUCCGGAUUUAGUGGAGGACAACAUUAUUUUGUUGGGAUUGCAACUAGAUAACAUUUCGAGAGAAAGAAGAGCUAACAACGAGUAAAUUAAUAAAUAUAAUAGUUUAUGGGGUAACUUGAAGAGGAUUUAUUUGAAUAUAUCAAAUGAUUAUCAGAAAUCAAAUUUUUGUUUUAUAUGUGUAUGGUUUGUUUCAGUAUGAUCUUAUUAGUGUCACAUUCCCUAGAACGUAAGUAAAAUGCCUCGGUUAGAGGGGAAUUAUUGCUUUUAUGUUUUGUAAAAGGUGACAAAUUCCUCAUCCACUAGUUCAUUAGAGUGCUAUAAGUGUGCAGUACAUAUUUUAUUGUUCCAAUGACACCUUCUCUCACUGGUAUAUGAUUUCUUCAGUUAGAGAACAAAUGACUAGACCCUUAAUAAGGGCUGCAAAAAGAAUCCAUACCGCAUGUCAACUGCUCAUGUUUCGGUCAAGCUUAUUCAUGAACUAAAUGAUCCAAAGUAUAACUUGGCAUUAGCUCAAUUGGCAACAAAAUAAGCUUGAACAUACCCAUGCAUGACUUGAUUUGUUUGUGAGGAUGGAUAUAUACUUUGUAACAUUUAACCCACAAUAAAUAUGUUAAGAGAGAAGAGUUUUACUUCAUGUUUAGCAAAAAUUAUUUAUCAAUGGUAUUAAAAAAUUUCCUUUUAACAUAUGACUCUGAAAGAACAUCGAAUGUUAUUAUAGAAGGCAUGUACUUAAGUGAGAAUUAUUCAUUCUCUGCCUCAUAGAAGUAGUAAGCUUGUCAACAAGCAUAAACCUGUUAAAAGUUCCAAUGAGUCUUAUUGAAUAGAAAGUUGACCUUGAUUUGGAUCUCAGUUAGAGGCAAAGGAAUCUACCAUUAAUUGUGAUCUGGUGCAUGGAUCUUUUACAGCCUGUGCAUGGCACUUGGUCAAUAAAACAAUCAUUUUGUUUUUACCUCAUCUCAGGUUGUUGCUGCAGCAUUCAUAACAUGGCUGGGAUGGUUUAUCCCUGGAGUGGCUGGGCUUUACCCUAAACAUUGGAUACCAAAAGUCAUGGAUGAGUUUGAGCUUGCACUGCAGUUUGGCAUUUCAGUAUUGGUUGUUGCUUGUCCAUGUGCUCUAGGACUGGCAACCCCUACUGCAGUCAUGGUUGCUACAGGGAAGGGUGCUUCUUUAGGUGUGCUCAUUAAGGGUGGAAAUGCACUUGAAAAGGCACACAAGGUAUGGUCUUUAUCCCCUUGUAAACAACUAAGGCUGAGUAACUUGAGUUUGGGGUUGAUGUACAAAAUUUCGCUAUCCUCUGGGUGUAUUAAGCAAGUUGCCUUUGCUGCACACACAUGUACACGUGCGCUCAAGACAUGUAAGCAUGCAAAUAUUUGCCCAUCAUCUUUUGUGAAAUAGAUCUGGAUUUUCUGGUUUCAUUGAUCUCAUAUGAUCAAAUAAUUAAAUAAAAUAGCCUAAGGACAUUUUUAAUCUGAUUAAUUCCUGCUUCAUCUACAGACUAUAUUAGAGUAUAUUUUGAUAUUGUGAUUUGUGAGUCUCCAUUUGAAUGUCACAUUUUCCUUGAAACAAAUAGAAUUUAAGUUUUUAUUAUUUUGAAUAUUUUACUAGAAAAUAGCUCUUUCUUCCAGUGCAGUCAUGUUACAGUAAGCAUAAAUAGCCUUACUUGACUAUGUCAUACUGUCAUCAUUAUCACAGACAAGUUUCUUUUUCCUUUUUUUUUUUUGUUUUGGGGUUUAAUAGCUGACAAAGUAUAAUGGUUAUAGUCAUCUAUAAGCAUUAUUUCUCUUUUUUGUGGUUUUUGGACAUGAUAUAAGUUGAACCUCUGGUCAUGGGAGUUUGAUUUGAUUAAUGCCCUCAUUACUGCUAAGAUGACUAUGAUCGCAUUUCUUUUAAUUCUGCAGGUAAAGACAGUUGUCUUUGAUAAGACGGGGACUCUGACAGUUGGAAAGCCUGAGGUAGUCAGUGCGGUGCUGUUUUCCCACUUUUCCAUGGAGGAGUUCUGUGACAUGGCUACUGCAGCAGAGGUAGAUAUUAAUAAUUAGUAUGAUACUCUGAUUAAUCUGCAACCUGUCUGGGGUUGAAUACUAACAGUGUUCUUGACCUUAGUUCCAAUAGUUUUUGAAAACAAUCCCAAUGCCCUUCUUAACCCAAUACUUGGCAAGAAACUUGCAAUACAAUGCAGGCAAACAUUAUAUGUGUACAGGCCCUGUUCGUAAAAAAAUUGAAUUUUGCUUUGGUGUAUGUGCUCGUACGAAUCUGAUUACACACUUUUUUUUUUCCCCUCUUUACAAAAUGUUCAGGCAAAUAGUGAGCACCCAAUAGCAAAAGCUGUGGUGGAGCAUGCAAAGAAGCUGCGGCAGAAACUUGGCUCUCCUACCGAACAUGCCAGUGAGGCUAAGGACUUUGAGGUGCACACUGGAGCUGGGGUCAGCGGAAAAGUUGGUGACAGAACAGUUUUGGUUGGGAACAAAAGGCUCAUGAUGGCUUUUCAUGUUCCCGUUGGUCCUGAGGUUGAUGACUAUAUGAUGAAAAAUGAGCAACUGGCCAGGACAUGUGUAUUAGUUGCUAUUGACGGAAGGGUUGCUGGAGCUUUUGCUGUAACUGAUCCCGUGAAGCCAGAGGCUCAAAUUGUUGUAUCCUGUCUCCGCUCAAUGGAAAUCUCAAGCAUCAUGGUGACUGGUGAUAAUUGGGCUACAGCGAAUGCCAUCGCAAAAGAGGUUGGAAUAGGAAAGGUUUUUGCUGAAACAGAUCCAGUGGGAAAAGCUAAUAAGAUAAAAGAACUGCAGGUAAGCCUAUUCUAUACAUGGACAAUGGUGCACUAGAAAAUGCUGUAUCUGUUUGUGUCAUGUUGAGUCAGUGAGGCAACAUUUUAGUAACUCAUCUUUUUGAAUUUACAAUGGAUGCAGUUGAAAGGGAUGACUGUUGCUAUGGUGGGAGACGGAAUAAAUGACUCACCAGCAUUAGUUGCAGCUGAUGUCGGGAUGGCAAUUGGUGCUGGAACUGACGUAGCUAUAGAAGCAGCUGAUAUAGUUCUCAUUAAAAGCAGCUUGGAAGAUGUAGUUACUGCCAUAGAUCUUUCCAGAAAGACCAUCUCUCGAAUUCGACUCAAUUAUGUGUGGGCACUUGGCUAUAAUGUACUCGCCGUGCCUAUCGCUGCUGGAAUUCUAUACCCCUUCACAGGAAUCCGGUUGCCACCCUGGCUUGCCGGGGCUUGCAUGGCUGCUUCGUCACUUAGUGUGCUUUGUUCUUCUCUUUUAUUGCAGUCUUAUAAGAAGCCUUUGCACAUUAAGGACUCAAAAGCCAGCUCACUUGACUAGUUUAAACUUGGAUUGUACCUACCAUAGUUCUCAUUAUUGUGCUGAUAAGUAUGCGUAUAUGCUUUUAUGCCAAGAAAAAAUAAAACCAUUUUGUUUCUUCCCCCUCUCUAGGUGCGUUUUUGUACCUUAAUAUUUCUCCCCUUCGUAUACGUUUUUGUGAUUACUAGUUCAAAAUUUGAAACCCUAAUUUGGGUUUGAAUCUUACCGAUGGUGGUAUCUAAGUUUGGGUGCUUUUGUUCAAGUGAUCCUCUCAUUAACUUGAGAAAAAUGCAUCCAAAUAAAUUGUACUGUAUAAAAAGAACAAUAAGUGAAAGAAGUAAACAGUGAAAUCCCAACAAGCAAAAGCCGCUCGGGACUUUUUUCAAGAAGCUGCAGCAUAAAUAGAUUUCUCUUGUUUUUGAAGGAGUUGCUGGGAACUAGAAAGCUGCUCCUUUUGGGGGAUGAUUAGUCCACGACUGUCUCCUAUCUUAUUAUAUAGUCCCCAAAAUAAUGCCAAAACGAAAAUGUCUCCCACUAGUACACUCAAAGCCGUCUGAAAAAAUUAAGCUCUUACAUCAACUCUAUUCAUAAAUAUGAGUUGCUUGUUGUGGAUUAAAAUAGGAAAGUAUCUAACAUGUAUGUAAAUAAUACAGAUGAUAAGAAGUUAAAGGAUCAUUGUGAUAUCAGUCAAGAAAAUGGAGACAAAACUUCGUGAGAGAGCUUCGAUUGCUAUUACGUUUAAUUUCUCAAUUGAUUUCUGAAUGUAUUUGAUCACAAAUGGUAAUCAAUGUGCAUUUAGCAAUGCAUUCUUUGUAUUAUAAGAUGUUAUGCGAAUGAUAUCUUAUAAAUUGAUUAGUAUGAUACAAAACUCAUAAUAUACUGAACAACGUGUAAUACGUAUAUUAUAAGCUAGAUGGUUACUUUUACAAUUCACUUCUUAAAGUUAUUAAAUAAAUCACACAUUAUUUUUAUUAAAAAGGAUGAAUAGAUAUAUCUCAUAACAUUACUAAACUUAUUAUGAUUUUAAAAUAUUUUUUUUAACUAGUAAUAAAUUUCUCACCAUAAUAUUUGGUUUCCAAUAUUAAAUUUACAUGCAAGUUGUGAAUAUUAAACAAAAAAAAAAUUAAAAGCAUCGUAUCUUACAAUCUUAAGUUCUUAACUCCAUCAAAUAGUGAAAUUUUAUUAAUUUUUGUUAUCUUUCUAAUUAGCUUACAGCUCAUCAAUGCAUAUCGUAAUUUCAGAGUAUUUUAGUUGAUGAACACUUUCAAAUAAAGAUUUUCUUAAGUUAUAUUUAUUGUAACUAAAAAUUAAAAUUUAUAAAUAUAAAACUAAGCAAUAAAAUAACAGGACCAGAUGGAUGAGUGAAUAAUUAUAUUAAAUUUAAUGAGACCUUACUGUCUAAAAAAUAGUCUGAUUGUAAAUAAUAAUGUAGUAGUCCCAUAUAAUAUUAAUAUUAAUAUGGUUGCAAUAUUUGUGUAAAUUAAAAAAAAAAAAAAAAAGUACAGUAGUAAAGGCAGCGUGCUUUAAAAUAUAACACAGAAUAUAACAAACCAAAAAGGUACAAGUGUCCUUUUCAUUAGGCAUGAAAAAGCAUCUCAUGCGUGGAAGCCGAUUCCGCCAUGACUCAUUGAGUCCUGACUUGCUAUUCACUUUAAACGAUCUUCAUUUGCACAGUGGCGUCACCUAGAAAAUUAAAGUCCCCUGGAGCUUCCGUAAUUGUCUCUCAACGGCGAACAACAUCUCAACACGUCUCCUCUCUUUCUUACUUCCAUGUCUUUUAUCUUGUCCCAACACAUAAAUUCUCAGUCUUUUUUUUUUUUUUUGUUAAUCACUCUCUCUCUUUCUCUGACUAAACAACAUCUGAGUUCUUGAGUCUUGAUCCCCUCCAAAAGGUAAGCUCCGAUCAUCUCUUCUUUCAUUUUGGAUCAUGUUGUUAGGAUCAUUCAAUUUGAUCAAAAGGGUAUCUUUUUCUUCAUACAAGUAUGUGUAUGUGUUUUCGUUGGAGAUUUUUGAGUUUUGUGAGUGAAUAGGAUGGUGGUUAAAAGCUAAGAGAAGACGCUUGAAAUGUUGAUAAGUUAAAUUAAAUGUUUAUUGGAUUUUCAAUUUCCUAGCUGCCCUUUUGUUUGGCCGACGAGAAAAUGGAAUGAAAAUUAAGGAAGAUUGGAUUUUGGGAUUUUUUGGUUUCUGGCUUUUUCUGUCUAUUUAUGGAAUGAUGAAGAAUUCUGGGUUUUUAUUCGUUUUGGCGGUCAUGUUUCUAAUAAUGGGAGGUUCUGUUUUCUGUAAGCUCAGUCAACUGGUUGUGUCAGGUAUUUAGAUAGGCUCUGUGAAGUAGAAAAGAAUUAUUGGUAUCUUGAUAAUUGUAAUGAUUGAGAGUUGAAAUUUUUGGUUCCUGUUGAGUACAAAUUGAGAGUUUGUUCGUGUGAUUUUGGUCUGUUUUGGAAUGGAUAAUUCUUCGGGUUUGGGAGGCAGGUUUUUGUCGGGUCAAAAUGUGGGGUUAUUGGACCUUGAAUCAUCAAUUCCCAGAAACCAACAAAACCAGCUGGGCCAUCCAUCUUUUAGCCGGCCGCAUCAAAUGAAUAUGAUGCAUGGUCUUGAAAAUGAUCACCACCACAUCGGGCUACUGGAAGUGAAAGGGUCAAGCAGGAAAGGAUUACCGAUGAAUUUUGGUAGAGGGAAGAUGGUCAGUCCAAUCAAUGCCUCAAAUAAUGGCAAUACAAGUGAAGAAGAUGAACCUAGUUAUACGGACGAAGGAAAUGGUGAAAACUCCAAUGGAGGAAGGGAUAAAAAGGGAUCUAUGUGGCACAGAAUGAAAUGGACAGAUAAUGUGGUUAGGCUUCUUAUAGCUGCUGUUGCUUGUGUGGGGGAUGAUGGUACGAUUGAUGGUGUAGAGGGGCUUAAGAGGAAAUCUGGAAUUUUACAAAAGAAGGGCAAGUGGAAAACAGUUUCAAAGAUAAUGACUAGUAGGGGUUGUCAAGUUUCACCACAGCAGUGUGAGGAUAAGUUUAACGACUUGAAUAAGAGGUACAAGAAAUUGAAUGAUAUUCUCGGUAAGGGAUUAACUUGUCAAGUGGUGGAGAAUCCUGCUCUUAUAGACACAAUGUCAUGCUCUCACCUCUCAGCAAAGGCAAAGGAUGAUGUGAGAAAAAUUCUGGGCUCAAAACACUUGUUUUAUAAAGAAAUGUUUGCUUAUCAUAAUGGGAAAAAGAUCCCAAAUUGCCAUGACAUUGAUCUACAAGGUUGUUCUGUACCUUCAGACAGGUCUUCAAAAGGUAACGACGAGUCAGAGGAGGAAGAAGCCGACCGGAACAACGACACUGAUGAUGAUGAGUCAGAUAAUGAAGAUGAUCGUAAUGAUGACGAGGAUGAGGGGAGAAUGGCUGAGAUUGGCGAGAGAGGGAAGGGGAAUGAAGAAGAUGGCCAUUCAUGGCCGCAAUCUGCUGGCCGGAGUGUCUUUGAGAUGGAAAUGGCUAGGAUUUUUCAAGACCCCUCAAAGUCAAUGUGGGAGAGAAGGGAGUGGAUUAAGAAGCAGAAGUUGGCACUUCAGAAUCAAAGAGUCAGCAUUCAGGCUCAAGCUUUUGAGCUUGAGAAACAACACUUAAAGUGGCUAAGAUAUUGCAGCAAGAAAGACCGGGAACUGGAGAGGUCAAGGUUGGAGAAUGAGAGGAUAAGAUUAGAUAAUGAACAAAUGAUAUUGCACCUGAAACAGAAACAAUUUGAGUUAGAUUUAAGGAAGACAGAAGUAUCCUUAGAACCCACUUCACUUGGAAACAGGGAUAGGGAUAGAGAUCAAAUUGAUGAUUUGGGCAGGCAUCAAUAGGUCCUCUGCUAAAGCCUGGAGAUCUGAAGGUUUGUGGCAGGCACCAUGGUGUAGUUUGUCUAAUAGUUCUGCUCAAAAAACUUUUAACUGCUUAGUCACACUAACCUUGUUCGUCAUUGGUAUUUCUUUACAUUAACAUGCACAGUACUUGUAAGUCGUUUUUUGAGCUUUUGAUGAAGUUUAAGAAUUAAGCAUUAGCAUUUUACCCUUUGCCUCUUUGAUGUCCAGAUUAUGCAAUAGAUAACUCUUACGUCUAUCUAUGGUUUAAUAGGCCUUCAGUUAAUCAACCACACCCUUCCGGCAAUAACUUCUUAGGUUUUGGAAGGGAGAAAAAAAAAAAACGGGGUCUAUGCCAUGAGAUUGUUGCCAUUGCUUCUGGUAGUAGUGGUUUGUGUAGUCGACUUCACAAGCCAACAAUGAUGUUGGAGAAUAUGGAAUCACUACCCCACAGAUAAAAUUUUUUCGAGUUUUGUGUUCAUUUGUCAACUUUAGUAUUGAAGGUUUCAAGAUGUUAUAUAUAAUUAAUUGUAUGUAUAUUAGCUAAUCCCGGGAUUAUAUACAGUAUUAGCUUAUUUGAGCAUGCAGCUAUGCAUGAGAAAAUUUGAUGAGCAUUCUAAUGGAGGUGGUAUACUCGUUUUCUACUUUUCUUGGAAAUAUCAUUGUAAACAUCCAUCUUUAGCAUUUUUUUUUUUUUUAACCCAUAUGUGGAUGUUCAGUUGUUCACGCGUAUUAUAUAUUUGUAUUAAAAUCAAUGGUGAAUCCUUUGCUCAUGAUAAAUUAAUUGUCAAAGUUGUACUCUCCAAAAAUUAUGGGCCAAUUCAAAUUUCCAAAGGAGAAAUUUCCAAGUGAAAAUUAGAUGUUUCCAUUCUUAUUCAAAAUGUGGAAGAUUUUUCCAUUCUUAUUCGAAACGUCCAAAUAAUUAACUUUCUUAAUAAUUUUGUUCAACCAAAUCUCCAUCUCUGCAUACUUUUCUCUGUCAAAAACUAAUACCACGCAUGCAAUGACAAAUAAUAUGAUUAACAGAGCAAAAGAAAACGAAAACAGCAACGCAAUAAAUAAAAAGGAAACAAAGUAAUAAUUUUAGUAUUUUUCAUUUUCAUGCAACUAACCGUAUUACUUCAAAUCAAUUGUUAUGAAUAUGCAAUAUUUUAUUUUUACUCUCUUAAUCAUAAAGAAAAAUUGAAUGUUAAACAGAUCAUCAACAAAAUCCUAAAAGACACAUUCAUUAAGUGGAUGAUAAUUUUCAAUUGACUAGUAUAAGAGACUAGCAUUACAAUUUUGUUUUCCCUUCUCAUUAUCCCAAUGCUCAAAUUCAAAUGAAUGUACAUGCAGCAAAAAUUUUGUCGAUGAAAUAACAUUAGCCAAUCCUGCCUAAAGUAUCUUUCCCAAUCACAUCAUGCCACCUCAUACAAGCCGCGUAUCUCAAAAACACUUGCUAUAAAGAAUCCAUGCAGAGAUCAAUGCCUCUUUUAAGUUCUCUUCCAUCUCAUAUUUUUCUCUUCACAGAACCAAAAGCUCUCUCAGCCCCUAAGAUUAUCAAAGAGCCUUUUUAGCCAAAAGGGUAUUUUAUUUUGUUCAUUUUCGUUUUUAUUUUCUAUUAUUAUUUGACUCUAUAUUUAGUUCAUUGCAUUGGCCGAAUCGCUUGGUCUAUUUGUGAAUUGUGAUGUGUAUUUCACAUAAAAUUGUUCUGGUCUUGCUUUUAUUUCGGGCCUUUUUUUUGUUAUUUUUUAUUCAACACCUUCUUUGAUUUUAUUAUAAACCCACUUUCAAGCUUCUCCUUCAGAUCUCUCUUUGCUCAUUAGUUUCCUAAGACCUUUUCUCUUCUUUCUUGUAUAUUUUUUUCAGGUCAGCUUGAUUCAUUUAUGCCUACAAAGAUUUAUAUUUAUGUCUAUUUUAUGGUUAAUUUUUGAAAUAUGCUAGUUUAUACAUGUUUCUUGAGAUUUUCUAAUAUUGAAAAUUUGUACAAAGCUAAAUACUCGAUUGCAAAAUGCAUAACAUUUCAUGUCUAUAGCAAACUGAAAACUGAAAGAACAGAUGUUACUUGUACAAUGAUUGGUGCAAAUAAAUAGCUGUAAAUUAUUUUUGGUGCAAAUAUGUUUUAUGGGUUCGUACUGGAUCAAGAUUCUAUGGAGGAUUUGAUUUGGUCUUUCAGAUUUAAGUUCUGAUCUUAAUCUUAAUGAUUAUUAGAUUUUUAAAUGAUACGGUAGCAAUUUGAUUAUCUCUUGAUAUGUCAUCUGCCACAUGAAUUUUCAUGAAUUUAGAGUAGUGUACUUGAAACUUCUGUGACGUGUUUGAGAUUCUUGUUUUGUGACAUGAAAUUAUCUGUGUCCUUCAGUUUAAAGCAUUCUUGAUUAUUCUGCUUACAGCUCUCGUAAUUUUCAAAAUUUUUUUUUCCCUGCAUGUUGACGGUUUAUAUUUUGGAAGUAGUAAUAAUGGCUGAGAGUCACCAGCAACCAUCAGUUAUGCAAAAGGUAACAGGACAGCUCUAUCUCAAAUCCACUCUUAGCCAAGACAUUGUUCAAAAUCGGUAUGCCGGUUUCCAAAAUCCUGCUGCUCUGCCUCAGAGGCAUUUUGCCUAUGGCAACUACUCCAAUGCAGCAUUUCAGUACCCGUUAGCACAUACGUGCCGCGCCUCCUCUGAUCUGUCACUUAUCGCCUCAACUGCGUCGCCUGUGUUUGUACAAGCCCCGUCAGAGAAAGGCUUUGCUGGCUUUGCCGUUGAUUUUCUCAUGGGUGGAGUUUCUGCAGCAGUAUCCAAAACUGCCGCUGCUCCUAUUGAACGCGUUAAGCUCUUGAUCCAAAACCAAGAUGAAAUGAUCAAGGCUGGCAGGCUCUCUGAACCCUUUAAGGGAAUUGGCGAUUGCUUUGGCCGUACAAUUAAGGAUGAAGGGUUUGCUUCAUUGUGGAGAGGGAACACAGCCAAUGUCAUUCGUUAUUUCCCCACUCAGGUUUUUGUCAAGUGUUUGAUAUAAUUGUAUUUGUAUCAUCAUUUUGCUUCGUUGUGUUUGCUUAUGUUGUUAUAUUUGUCAUUGCUUCUUCAGGCCUUGAACUUUGCAUUCAAGGAUUACUUCAAGAGAUUGUUUAACUUCAAGAAGGAUCGCGAUGGUUACUGGAAAUGGUUUGCUGGCAACUUGGCAUCUGGUGGUGCUGCUGGUGCCUCUUCUCUGUUCUUUGUCUACUCCUUGGAUUAUGCGCGAACUCGCCUUGCUAAUGAUGCCAAGGCCGCAAAGCACGGAGGGGAGCGACAAUUCAAUGGCUUGAUUGAUGUCUACAGAAAGACUUUGAAAACAGAUGGUAUUGCAGGGCUGUACCGCGGAUUUAACAUCUCAUGCGUUGGCAUCAUUGUGUAUCGCGGUCUGUACUUUGGCAUGUAUGAUUCUUUGAAGCCUGUGAUCCUCACCGGAAAGUUACAGGUUAGUGUAAAAACCAUUUAGUUGCAUGCCACUUGGUGGACUAAUUGAACUGUCAAAUGUUUGACAUAAAUUUUGGAAAUGUGAUUGCAGGAUAGCUUCUUUGCUAGCUUUGCUCUCGGUUGGGUUAUCACCAAUGGUGCUGGCCUUGCCUCGUAUCCCAUUGACACCGUUCGCAGAAGAAUGAUGAUGACAUCUGGUGAAGCCGUGAAGUACAACAGCUCACUCGAUGCAUUCUCUCAGAUUCUCAAGAAUGAGGGUGCAAAAUCACUCUUCAAGGGUGCCGGUGCGAACAUUCUUCGAGCCGUUGCUGGUGCCGGAGUGCUUGCAGGCUAUGACAAGCUUCAGAUGAUUGUCUUCGGAAAGAAGUAUGGUUCCGGGGGAGCCUAAUUGGUAUGAUGAUGAUGUUGAUGAAAAUCUUGAGAUUCAUUCAUUUUGAGAAUUCUUCAUUCAAGGGAUUCAUUUUCCCAUACAUUGUUGCUUUUACUAAUGAUUUUUUUUCUCCUUUGCCAUAAUUGUGAUGGUUGAAACAGUUGUAAUCUCAAUUCAUCAAAUUUUCCAGGUUUUUAUUACAUGUUUAGAUCAAUUGAUCCUUCACUUACCCAUUUCUUUUUAAGCCCACAUAUUGGUAUAUGAUGAUAAAUAAGGCUCUAAAUUUUUGUAAAACAUCCUCAAUUGCAUCAAUAAUUGAUAUAAUAUUUCCUUGUGAAUGAUAAAAGAGGUAAACAACUCUAAGUUUGAUUCACAUUUUAGAUACGAAAGCGCGAUGAGCUGAGAUGAAAACACAAAUAAUUAAUUUAAUUUUUUAAUUUAAUCUAAAAAUAGAAAAGAUCAACAAAUGUCCAUAAUAAUAAUUGUUAUAAACAAAUAUACAAUAUUUAUUUUAAUAAAUAAAUAAAAUGAAAUAAAAAUUAAAAAAAAAAAAGAGAGAAAAUCCAAAGCCAAGCAUUCAAAACAUAAAUAAUCAGCAAGUAACGCUCUUUCCCGCCAAACGACAUAAAAAACACACACGAAACACAAAAAUCUGAUGAACAUUUUCAAUGCCAUCAAUCUCAAAUUGAUUAAAGGCCCUCUUUUAAACCCUCUUCGUUACUUGCUAUGCUUUCUUCACACUCGCUCUCUUUCUCCUCACAAAGAGGAACCUACAAAUUGGAACACGACCCACGUAUUUGUUCUUCAAAACCCAGUUCUAUUUUUACUAGAACAAUGCAAAUCUUUAUCCCAAUUGAAGCAAAUCCAAUCCCAAAUGACCAUCACUGGCUUGAUCUCACAUGGGUUUGCUUCAAGUCGCCUUCUUGCGUUUUGUGCAAUAUCUGAGUCAAAGAAUCUUGAUUAUUGUACAAAGAUUUUGUUUAAUGUACAAAACCCUAAUUCGUUUUCUUGGAAUGUAGCUAUUAGAGGGUUUUUAGAGACUGGAAAGAUGAGAGAAGCUGUUGAUUUGUAUAAGCAAAUGUUGAGAAAUGGUGGGACUAGGCCUGAUAAUUUUACUUACCCUUUGUUGUUCAAAGUUUGUGCUAGUUUGGGAUUGAGGUUUUUAGGUUAUGAGAUUUUCGGGCAUGUUUUGAAGCUGGGUUUUGAUGUGGAUAUGUAUGUGCAUAAUGCUGUGAUUCAUGUGUUUGUUUCGUGUGGAGAUUUGGGGUUGGCAUGCAAUGUGUUUGAUGAAAGUUGUGUGAGAAAUUUGGUUUCUUGGAAUUCUUUGAUUAACGGGUUUGUUAGGAGUGGGUUUCCAAGAGAAGCUAUUAGGCUCUUUCGAGAUAUGCAAUUGGAGAGAGUCGAACCGGAUGAAGUGACGAUGAUUGGGAUGGUUUCGGCAUGUGCUCAACUAGAGGAUUUGAAUCUUGGGAGAGAGAUUCAUUGGUAUAUUUCUGAAAGUGGGUUGACUUUGACUGUUCCACUCGCAAAUGCGCUCAUGGAUAUGUAUGUGAAGUGUGGGAAACUUGAGGCAGCCGAAGAAAUAUUUGAUGGCAUGGUGAACAAAACGGUUGUGUCAUGUACCACAAUGAUUGUGGGAUACGCCAAAUUUGGGUUUUUGGAUAUAGCUAGGAAGAUUUUUGAUGACUUGCCAGAGAAGUAUGUUGUGCCAUGGAAUGCCAUAAUCGGAGGUUAUGUCCAAGCCAAGCGUAGCAAGGAGGCUUUGGCUUUGUUUCAUGAAAUGCAAGCUACUGGCAUAAAGCCAGAUGCAGUGACCACGGUUCAUUGCCUAUCUGCUUGCUCACAACUUGGAGCCCUCGAUGAUGGAAUAUGGAUUCACCGUUUUAUUGAAAAAGAAAAUUUUAAUUUGAAUGUUGUGUUAGGAACUGCAUUAGUUGACAUGUAUGCCAAGUGUGGGAAUAUCGCAAAGGCCCUCCAGGUUUUUCAUGAGAUGCCUGAAAGAAAUUCUUUAACCUAUACUGCCAUUAUUGGGGGCUUAGCCCUUCACGGGAAAGCGCUUGAUGCCAUAUCUUACUUCUCUGAAAUGAUUGGUGUUGGGUUGAUGCCAGAUGAGAUCACUUUUCUUGGGAUUUUAUCAGCUUGUUGUCAUGGAGGGUUGGUAGAUGAGGGUCGUAAGUAUUUUGCCCAAAUGAGCUCCAUAUUCAGAUUGUCCCCUAAGCUUAAACACUACUCAUGCAUGGUGGAUCUUCUAGGUAGGUCUGGUCUAUUGGAAGAGGCUGAACAGCUUAUCAGAAGCAUGCCAAUGGCAGCAGAUGUUGUGGUGUGGGCUGCAUUGUUUUUUGCAUGUCGACUGCAUGGAAAUGUUUCAAUUGGAGAAAGAGCUGCUAUGAAGCUUCUUGAGUUAGAUCCUCAAGAUAGUGGAAUUUAUGUAUUGCUUGCUAAUAUGUAUAGGGAUUCAAAUAUGUGGGAGGAGGCUGGGAAGGUAAGAAAAAUGAUGGAGGAGAGAGGUGUGGAGAAGACUCCUGGUUGUAGCUCGAUUGAGGUUAACGGCCUUUUGUAUGAAUUUAUUGUUAGAGACAAAUCCCACCCUGAAUCGGAACAGAUUUAUGACUGUUUAGUUCAGUUAACAAGACACUUUUGAGUUUUCUGAAUAUAUCUCUGAUGUUCCUCCCUAUGGAGAUGAGUUUCUCUCAAGCUUAGAGCUUGAAAACCAAUUGUCUGCCUUACAUUGCCUGUGAAAGCUGUAAUUGCUUAGCAUGAUUUACAGUGGAAACUGCCUCUCUCGUAUGGGAAAAUGGUUAGUGCCGAUAACGAGGCAGCUUUCAUCAAAAUCAGGAAAGACCAAGCAAAGCGAGAGAAGAAAGAGGACUAUUUAUCCUGGUGGGAUCCAUACUCUUUGGGAGUUCUGUGUUCAUCAAUUUUUAUUAGCUGGUGCAAGUUGCCUAGGUUUUCUAGUUGUCAACCACAAAACUUUAAAAGGCCUCGCAAUGGUAAUAAUCAAGAUGGUUCACAUAUGAACCUGCUUUAGUAACAAAGAGCUUGUAGAUGUCACUCAUGGAUUCUAGGAAGAACUAAGAAGGGGCGCCUUUGGCACUGUUUACAAAAUGUUCUUGGAAAUGGGGUAUCAUAAUCUUGUUCCAGUAAAGAGGUUAUAGCGUAUUUCAAGAUAGUGAGAAGGAAUUCAAGUUUAAGUGAACAUAACUAGCCAAACACAUCACAAGAAUGUGGUUCAAGUUCUGGUAGUGUAUUUACCCUGCAGACUCGCAACCGAACUGAAUUUGAGGAUUGAAAUUGAGAUACGAAUUGCCAGACGUCUUUUGUGCAGAGUGCAGCACCCAAAUCAUCCAUUGUGAUACAAAGCUUCAAAACAUACUUCUUAAUAAUCAUUACACUGCCUGUAUAUCUGACUAUGGUUUCGCAAAACUUCUGAUGAUGGAUCAGAACCAUACUAUUACUGCCAUCUGAGAAACAAAAGGAUACGUUGCGCCCGAAUGGUUCAGGAAAAUGCCAUUCACAUUGAAGGUCGACGUAUACGGUCUUGGUGUUUUGCUUAUAGAGAUCAUUUUACUCCAGAGAAGUGCAGAUAAUCAAAUCAGCAAAGUGGAUAAAGCAAUUCUUACUGAUUAGGCUUGUGACUGCCAUCAGGAAAACACUAAGGGUGCUCCGGAUGAAAAUGACUCGGAGGCCAAAAUUGACAUGAAUAUGCUGCAAGGGUUUGUAAUGAUUGCCUUAUGGUGCAUUCAAGAAAGGUUAUACAGAUGCUCGAGGAGGUUGUUGGGGUACUCAUUCGCCCCAUGCCCGUGGCUUUUGAACUUCACAGCCACUCUAAUGUAGUGUCUCCUAUGAACUAGAUCUUCCUGUUAAAACUAUUGGGUUUGUUGUUACUGCUAUGUUGCUACUAAAAGACCUCAACAAAUAAAUGUAGCGUGCCUAGUUGAUCAAAUUAUAUGCCUCAUAGUAUGUUGACAAGUCCAAUUCCCAGACGGUCUAUGGAUCCAAAUAUAUUAGGGGCAGCCCCAGUCCCAUAACUUCUUCAAGGGACGGUUAGGUUGCAGUCUUUGGAUUCAGUUCACAUUUCCCAACCACUAAAGCUACUGUUGUUGUCCGUAUUUGGAAUCUCAUUGAGUUUUCAUGUGUGUUGAGCAUAUAUUUAACUUAAUGGUAUUACAAUUUCUUCGUCACCUAUUGAGCAAGUUUAAACUCCAAAUUUCUUAUUUUCAAUACGAGAUUUUAUCACACGAAAUACCAACGUGUUUAUGUAUAAAUUUGAAUAGAAAUAGUCUUUUACUAACUUAGAAUUUUUUUUAAAAAAACAUGGUGUAUUAGUAGCUUUUUCUAUUCACACGAAAAAGAAAAUCAAAGUGUGUAUUAAAAAAAUAAACUUGGAAAAUGAUUUCAAGACCUCAAAAUUUUAGAAGCCUCUGAGUAGCACGCGGGUCUCGACUCUUGAGCUAAUAAUGACAGACAGACACGUAAUGUCGCUCUGGUCUUUUAGUUGAUGUCAAGCAAUCGAACAAUACCGAGAGCCCAAAAGUGGCUCCAAAAUUUAAUCAGGGUAAUUUUUAAAAAUCUCCUCUGAAGUUUGGGCUUAUUGCAAGUAGAUGGUGAGAAUUUAUUUAUUUGUAAAAAAUUUUCUACCAUCAGUUAAUUUUAACAUUGACCGUUAGUUGACUGUGCAAAGACAAUAUUACCCUUAACAACAGUUUGUAGACGGAAAUAACUAAAAAAAAAAUUAAAAUUAUUGGCUAUUUUAUCCUCUUUAAAUUAUUGAUAUUUUCUUAAAGUUCCUACAAGAAAGAUAAAAUUAAAAAUUUUAAAAAUCCUCUUUAAAUUAUUGAUAUUUUCUUAAAGUUCCUACAAAAAAAAUUAAAUUAAAAACUUGAAAAUGAAAUAGUUAUAAUUUUUACUUAUGAUAUUGUAAAUCUUUGGAAUUGAUAAGGAUAAAAUUGUCAAAAAAUCUUUAAAUUAUUGAUAUUUUCUUAAAGUUCCUACAAGAAAGAUAAAAUUAAAAAUUUGAAAUAUCCUCUUUAAAUUAUUGAUAUUUUCUUAAAGUUCCUACAAAAAAAAUAAAAUUAAAAACUUGAAAAUGAAAUAGUUAUAAUUUUUACUUAUGAUAUUGUAAAUCUUUGGAAUUGAUAAGGAUAAAAUUGUCAAAAAAUAGGGUUUGUGCUUUUCGCGCCAACAAUUUUAAUUUUUUUUUUAGUUAUUUCCGUCUACAAACUGUUGUUAAGGGUAAUAUUAUCUUUGCACAGUCAACUAACGGUCAAUGUUAAAGUUAACUGACAGUAUGGAGUUUUUUACAAAUAAAUAAAUUCUCGCCAUCUACUUGCAACAAGCCCAAACCUCAUGGGAGGUUUUUAAAAAUUACCCAAUUUACUCAUGAGUCGAUGUCAAGUGAUCAAACUGUGACUAUUAAUUAGUCCACAGCAGCUAGCAGGUAAGAUUCUCUCAUUGUUCCAGAAUUCAUGGAUCCGAUGAUCAAAUGGGUGAGACUAUCGCACAUUCGCCGGUUAAUAACAUUUUUGUUAUUGAUGACAAUGUUUUAAGAUCGAUGGUGGGUGGUUUUGUGUCAUUGUGCACCUAACAAUAGAUGAUCGAUGGUGGGUGGUUUUGUGUCAUUGUGCACCCAACAAUAGAUGAUCCAUGGUGGAUGAUGAUGAUGAUGAUGAUGAUGAGAGUCCUAGUAAUGGAACUUAGCCGCAAAAACUAAGUGGUUGAACUUUUAAAAGGAGUAAAGACAAGGAGGAAGGAAUACGAGGGAGGGGUCAUGAUAGGUGCUUGCUUGCACGCCAGGUUUUUAGUUUGAAUUGAUUCUCAUGAAUAAUGAUCAAUUUUAAUUAUCCAUGUUCAUUCAUGCUUUGCUUUUUGCUGGUUGCUUGCUUGCUUGUCAUUUCAUUCUCCUUCUCACAUGGCUGACAGCCUUUUGCCCUUUAUAGCCCCCAGAAAGCACACUGAUUGCAUCAGCUAUGGCAUACACAUAGGCUUAGCUUAAAAUCAUUGGACCAAACAAAAUUAUGGGGAUGUCCAAAACCACUUUUUGGCUAUGUCGGGUCUUGUGGGUCUGCUUUUUUGUUUCUCAAUAUAUUUUUUUUCAAUAAAAUACUCCACUUUUUUAAUGGGUUAUUUUUGUUCGGUUGUUCUGGAAAAUUUUGUCUCUGAAACUAUUUUAGGUCGGAAUAAUAGUUGUUCCAAGUAUUUUAAAGCAUGAAAAAUUCAUCCCUUACUUACUUAAACAUUAAAUGAAUUGAAUUGAAGUUCUUUUCAUGUGUCUUGAAAGAGAAAUGGAUUGUCACUCACUCGUAUAGAAGAUUCUAAUAAAAAAAAUUUAAUGUUCUUAGUUUCUAAAACAAAAACAAAAAUAACUAUCAUCACAUGUGAAAUGAUUAUGUCACACACUAAUUAAUAGCCCACGUUUGUACAUUGUAAUAAUUUUCUACUAAAUUAUAGCCCACGAGAAUUGAUUUUAUUUAACCACUGUUUAAUUAACAUGAUUAAAAACUCUUCAUCUUAUCCUUAAGAUGAAGAAUUCGAGUCUUCCUAUUGCUUCAGAUCCCAACAAAACAAAGUAGAUUGUAUUUGAUUAUUGUUGUUAUGUAUUAGGAUCCCUCUAAGUUACAUGCAUGUACCUUACAACCAUCUCACAUGAAUAGUAUCCAUACACUAUUCAUGUGAGAGGGAUGUAAGGUACAUGCAUGUAACUUAGCAUUACCCUAUGUAUUAUAGAUAAUAUCAAAAGCCAGCUAAGCCAAUUUUUCUCUUUUAAUAAAUGUGUUAUUGUAGAUUGAUUCUAAUCCAAACCAAUCUCAACUGACACCAACUUCUUUUUGAUGGGUUCAGGUGGGUUUGGUGAUCUUUUUCCCAAUAUCACAUGCUUCAUUUUCCCAUCACAACUCAACCACUAACUCUAACCCUAACCACAAUUUCUAGUAUUUGGUUCUAAAUUUAUACACCCAUGGCUCAAAUCUUUAUGAGCCUAUAUUUCUAAAUCUUGUUUUUUUUUUUUUCCCCAGUUUGUUUAAUGAUUGAAUGGUUAGAUUUUGAUUCUAUUAUGACUGAGUAAUUAUAUAUCCAACCCUACAUAUUGAUUUAAAUAGUAGAGAUACAUUCUCUUUUGGUAAUGAUAUGUUUGAAUGUUGAGAUAAAUUGGGGUCAAAUUGAAAUCAAACAUUAUAACAUAAUUAAAAAGAAAAAAAGUAUCAAUUCCAUUGUUUAGUUGAAAUACUAAGACUUCCUAAUUUUUAAUUGUAAAUAUUUCAAGGAUUGAUGUAAUAAAAAUUAACCCUAAUCAUCUACCAAAAAAAAUCUUUAAAAAAGUUAUAUUUCGAGUAUUAUGAUUCUUUUCUCAUGAUAUUUAAAUUGAAGUUUCAUUUUUUCUUGAUUUAAAGUCAAAAUGUAAAUUAAUAAGAGUUUGGGAAAUUGAAAAUGCAAAAAUAAUAGGCCUGACAGAAGAAUUUAUAUUUAAGAUAGUCCUAAAUGUGCAUAGUCAACAUAAAUAAACUAUAAAAAAUAACUUUAAUUCAAUAAAUUACAGUGUUAAUUAAUUAGGACAAGACUCAAGGGCUUGACUGAAAUUUUUGGCAAAAAUUAAAUGAAGAAUAAAUUGUUUCAGUUAAUGAUAUUUAUUAUUAUACAUAAAUACAAAAGGUUCCAUACAUGUGACCAAUUAUACAAUUUACAGCUACUGGUAUUGGUUUGGUCACCUAUAAUAUACACUCAAGCAGCUCACCUGCAGUACACAUGUUAACACGCGGUUGGGUUGGGUGAAUAUUCAUAUAAAAUAUUUUUCCUUUAUUAAAUUAUAGUCAUUUUCCUUGUCCAAUUUGGUUUCCAAUUCGUUUUCUUUUUAAAUGAUAGAACUAUUUUGAUUAAAGGAGGCAAAUUAAUUCCUUUUUUCACAUAAAAUAGUCUUAAUUUUUUUUUUUAAUCAAAGGAGAGAAUAGACAAUACUCUAAUAAAUUUUUUAACCAACACUUAUACAGAAUUCAAACAUGAUUGAACAACAAAAAAACUAUUUAAAAAUUAUUUGUUCAUGUCCCUCGGUAGAUAAUUUUUUUUAAAAAAUAAGUUUCUCAUGAAACUAAUUCUUAGCAUUUUUAAUUCAAAAAAGCUUUUGAAGACGAAUAUUUUAUGAAAAAUAAAAUAUUUUUAUAGUUUUAAAUCUUUUUUUUUAAAAGAAUACAAUAAAGUAAAUAAUAAACAAUAGAGAUCCAGACUUAAUUGAGUGGAUUUUAAUUUCAUAUAAAUUUCUUUACCAAGCUACUUAAAUUGAAAUCCAUAUAUAUAUAUAUAUAUAUAUAUAUAUAUAUAUAUAUAUAUAUAUAGUGGGUUAAACAAUUAUUUUAGAUUUUGCACCACCUCUUAUCUUUAAAAAAAAAAAAUAUAGAAACAACAGAAUAAACUAUAAAGGUACCUACCUAUCCAACUUUUAAAACCGGUAGGCUAAAGCGUAUUUUCAUGCAAAAUUCAGGGUCAAAAUAGAUAUUAUUCUACACUGAUUUAUAUUAUCCUAAAGCGCGAGACACGCAAUAAUUUCUCAUCCAACGGGGUUCGCGUGUCCUUUAGGCCACUGCACAAAGCGCCACACUUAAUAAAAUUACGAAAAGAAAAAGAAAAUAAAAAAAAAAUAAAAAAAUAACAAAAGCUGAGAAGCAGCAGCCAUUCGCUUCUAAAGCCAUCAGUGAGCUCUUCAGAAGUUAACCAGUGUCGGUUCUUUCUCUUUAUUUUCCAAAGAAUCUCUCUUUAUUUUAAUUUCUUUUCAUUUUUUUAAUGAGUUUUUAAAGAUAUUUUACCAAAUAUAUCAACUAGGCCCCUAACCUGAAUGGCUAAAUUACUUUUUUAAUAUCGUAUUUUUAACUAUAUAAAUGUAAACUGUAUCGUGUUCUGUUGGCUCUGACCCAAAAACUUAACUACUUAAGACUCAUUUAUGCUCUGUACUAAGUUUGUUAUUGUGCCCCAUUUUUUAAAUUGUCAAAUUCAUUUGAAUUUUUUAUUUAUUGAAAUUACUGUUAUAUCCCUCAAUUUCAUUACUCCAAAUAACUAACACGUUUAUUUGUUUGAUUCAUGCUACCUUGUAUAGUGUCUACCGUCUAAACUCUAAAAUACGAGCUUGAUUAUUGUUUAACACUUACUUUUUAGUCAUUUCAGUAUCGGCUUUUCGGACCUAUUUGAUAAAAAUGAAAAUAUUAUACCUUAUAUGCGAAAUCGAAAAAAUGUAGGGACUCAUUAUAUUUCUUCAUUAAUUAAUUGUUUAUAUAUAUUGACAGUGUUCCAUUUAUCGCCCUCUUGAUCCAUUGGUCCAUUGUUUUCUCUCUCUCUCUUUCCCUCUUUCCUUUACAUUUUCCCGAGAAAAUUUCUGAGUCACCGAAAGCGAAAUUUUCUCGGCGUGGAUUUUGUUUCAUUUGACUCUUAUAACUUCUGGAGUUCCGAAUUUGUGCAAAUGAGGUACUUGAACUGUUCAUUUUCUGUUUGGCUUUGAGAAAAAAUUGAGAUAAUGAGAUCUCUUUCAUUUCAGAUGCUAAGAUAAGAGCAAAAACUCACAUUAAGUGAACCUAAAUUGUGUUUGUUUUGAACUUCUCUUGUUUCUUUUACUUUCCUCGCAUUUUCUCGGCUACCAAACUUGAGAUUAGUUUUCUGUUAUGGAUUCUAAAAGUGAAAAAAAAGUCAGCUUAAUUAGUCAAAAUUUUAUUUGUUUUCUUUAACUUCUUUAAUAUUUUCUUUCAUUUUCUUGAGAAUCAAACAGGAUAAGUCUUUUGAUGAUCAUUAUGUGCUAAAUUGCUGAGAUUUGUUAAAUCAAUGUCUUAAGCAAUGCAAGAUAGAUAAACUUCUGUGAUUUUGUAAUGCUGUAGUGUUGAAGUUUAGUCGUAUAAUAAUCUUCUGGAAUUUACAUUAAUUUUUUUUUUGACAUUUCUUUUGCAGGUCGGAAACUAAUUGAAAAACAAUUGAUUGAUGUCCGAAUUCGCGUUUUGGGCAAAUCUCAGCUAUUAAAUCUGUGAAAGAUCAGGUUUUUACAUUCAAUAUUCUGUUUAUUUUUUCACCUUUAGUGUAAUUAUGUUAUUUUUGUAACUGUUAAUUUGAUGCUUGCUGCAGUUGGUGGUUUAGAAAUGAGUUGGAAUCCGCAUAUUGAGGUUCAUUACUAUAACACCAGCUAUCCUUAUAACAGUGCUGGAAGCUUUAUGGAAUAUUUUGAAGGUCUUACAUACGAACAUGUUAAUUUCAUUUUUGAUGGUGCUUCGCAUGAUCAGGUACCAAUUUUAUGAUGAUCGCUGAUUUUUAUUUUUGUAAACAUGGUUGGAAUGAUUAAUGAUGCUGUUUUAUUUGCUUUGAAAAGUAAUUGGAUCCAACUUUUGUAAAUUUGUGCUGUUAGUUGAUAAGGGUUGUUGCGUUUUCUUAAUGUAGAUGUGUAAGAAAGCACCGCGUAUUUGAAUGAAUGGUUUGGACUAUUUGUAUUGUUACAAUAUUAAAAAUUUAAAAUUGCGUUAGUUGAAAAGGUGUUUUUCUUGUCUUGUGCAGGAGAGUGUUUACCCCUCGACACAUACGAGUUUUUACAAGUUCGGAUUAUCUGAUUACGGAAGUAAUUCAUAUUAUGACUAUGGUCAUCCUUAUGAGGUCAAUUAUCAUGAGCCACGGAAUGAUGAAUACAGAAGGCCGUCAGAGAACACUUCUAGAUCCAACAAUGAGCAGACUGCAGCUGUAAAUGCAGUACCGGAAAGAAAUACGAAUACUACCACACGUGAGAGCCCCAUAGAAUGUAAGUUGUGAGGUUCAUUUUGAUGUGAAGUUUCAGAUAGGAUAAUCUGUUUUCUCCUAUAGUCCAUGGGGCCUGUUAAUUGUAGAAGAUUUUUCUUUUUGAAUGAUUAUGUUCAGGCGUUCAUACCAAUUACUUGUGUAUAUUAAAAGGGAGAAGAUAUUAACUGAGUGUAUAAAAUCACUGCAUGAGGUAGUUCUCUCCAAAAUAGUAGUAUGCUGUCCAGAUAUUUAACAAAUGAUUUGUGUGUGUAAAGAAUUAAACCCCAAGAUUGGGGUCCGGUCAUGAGUCACAAUGACACAACCCAUGAAGGACUUCUAUACAACUGACCCCGAAAGAACAGAAGAAAAUGUAACCUUAAGACCUUGACCGAGGACUUAGUCGGCUUUGCUAAGUUAGAAAUCCUCAAAGAAUCUCACUAAAUCAUACUUAAUGCUGGUAUAGCUUUUUAGUGAGAUUGAUCACUUUUAAAACCUUCGAACUAUUAUUGCAUUUUUUAUUUUUCUAAAUCAUCAUGUUUUUCUUUUGUGCUUUUUCUCCACUUCAAAUGGAGUUCUUGAAAUCUAGAAGUGCAACUUUGGAAAAUAUCAAAUUUUAAGCUUGCAUGCAUUUACUUUUUAUGCAUUUAAGAAUCAAUCUUUGUGCUGCUGAUCUUUUGCUGAAACAUUCUAGUUUAAUUGGAACUAGAAAGAAAUAGCAGCAGCUUUAAAGUUGUUUUGCCCUUUCUUUUAUCAACAAUCUUAAUUGCUUUCCGCUACUGAGAAGGAAGCUGGCAGAAAGUAAUUUGUUUAGCCAAUUUCUUUUGUUCAGGGAUAAAGGAUUUGUUGAGUUUGUUUUAACUUAAGCUGUUUUUGCCCACUUGUUUGGUGGUAUUUUUUGUAUUUUAAAAUUACUUAUCUCCUAUGUGGAUGACUUUUUCCCUCAGCACUCACUUUCUCUUUUCAGGUCCGCGGAGACAUCAUAAUACUCAUGAACAUCAGGUAUGUAGCAUGUUAGUGGUCUCAGUUGAAUACAAGCUGUUGAUGCAUGAUGUGAAUUUACAAAUUUCCUCAAAUUUCUAGCUUGGAGAGUCAUUUUCCUUCUUUUACCCCCUCCCUUGGCAGACCUUCAUGUUGAUAUCAAAAUGAUUGUUCAAUGUCCACAUAGGUGCUUCUUUAAUUAGAAGGAGAGGUUAGGAAUUAUAAGGCGAGCACUUUCCAAGAAGCCUCUUGUUUCUUUCCGGUCCAUUUAGUAGAGUAGGCUGUACUUAUUCUGAUAUAACAGAAUAAUCCAUUCUUUUUGAUUGUUGAUUUUGUGUGGCCAUAUAAUAAAACAAAAAUUCGACUAAAAUCUAGCAUAUCUUAUCAGAUGACCUUUUGGUUGCUAACGUGUAAAAUUAAUAUCUCUUUAAGAAUUUAGUGUGCAAGUAGGAAUGGGGUUGUUCGAGUUGGUUGAUUGGAUUGUGAAAUAACUUCGAGUUUGUUGAUUGGAUUGUGAAAUAUGCUUUGUUUCCCUAUCUAAGUGAAAUUUUGAGUCAUAAUAACCAAAACCUGCAUAUAUGCAUGUUUGUGUGUCUAUAUAUGCAUGUAUCUAUGAUUUGAUUUUAUUAAAAUAAUGAAUAAGUUUUAUAUAAAUUUCUAGCAAGUGUGCACCUUAUCUUGCAUAGGCAUACAUCUUUGCAUUGCACCUAGGCUUGAGGAGAGUUUUUGCGUCUUAACAUGUUUCUUGACAUUGAUUGCAAUUGACGUUGGUAGCAAAAUUAAUCAAUAUGCCUUGAAUCCUUGGUUUUCUAUUGCUUGUAGCAUACAUUUUUGGAGAUAUUAUAUGUUGAGUCUUUUUAUUUUAGAUUAUAAAGACUGAAUGAUACUUGGAAAUAGAUUCUGGAGGUUAGUUAAAUCCCUUUUACUCUAUCUGAACCAUGCAGGUGGUUUGGCAAGACAAUAUUGAUCCUGACCAGAUGACUUAUGAGGUAAGUGGUUUCUAUAAUUUUUCCUUGUUUACAGGUGGCUAUGUCCUUAUAGAUGUUGCACCCAGAACUUUCAUGAUUUUUCAACCAUUUUUGGUUUUCCUGUCAUUCUUCAGUUAAUUUAUCUGCCUUGGGCAGAGCAUCUUUUUAUUAUAGAAUUAGAAAUUUGCUGUAAGCAUCCCAAUUGCACUAUAGCUGAUUUAUUUUAUCAUUUUGCUUAGUGCCACUUAUUUCUUUCUUGAAGCACUGUUGAUCAUGCUGACCAGAUUGUUAUAUGCCCUGGAUUGUUGGCUGAAAUUGUUCCCUAACUCAUUGCAUCCUGAAUACAAUUAGCUAGAUCUGUAGUUUGCACCAAUUUAUAUGCCAACCGGCAAAAGUGCUUAGGAGGACAUCAGUACUUGUCUGCAAUUAACAUGAUCAGCUAUAUGGUAUUUUGUUUUUUGAUUUCAUUGUGCUCCCGUAUUUCCUACUUAUGGAAGUCUGUAGUUCUCCUGGAGAUAAUUAUAUGUGUUAAUUAUAUAACAUAUACAGUUUUCUUUUAUAAAAUAAAUUCUCCAUGUUGACUGAUUCUUCAAGUUUUGAAGUCUUGGUUUCUGAACUGCAAUCAGUGGUCUCUAGUUAAACCAAUUUUAAUUGUCUCUGAUGUGAGACAUUGGUCCCUCUGAAGUUGAUCAUUGUGCACAUUUGUCCAUGAAAAUUUAGUUUAUUGCAUUAUUUGUGUUACACCUAGUAAUUUUGUUCUGGAUAGUUGCUCAUGACUAGGCUUAUCCUGUGCAGGAAUUACUUGAGUUAGGUGAGACAGUUGGGACUCAAAGUCGUGGUCUUUCCCAAGAACUUAUAAGUCUGCUUCCCAUCUCGAAAUACAAGUGCGGCUUCUUUACAAGAAAAAGAUCAAGAAAUGAGAGGUAUUAUUUGGCUUUCUUCUUUACAGCUAUCUUGUAAUUUGUGUUGCUCUUGUUUUAAAAGGUGCUAUCCUUUCUAUUUAAUGGCCUUAAUUGAUCUCCUUUUUCUUCCCUGCAUGAUGUAAUAUAUCACUCUUUUGUUUGCAUUUGUUGUAUUUUUACCUGAAUCUUAAACAUUAAAUCAUGCUUUUCUUUAUCCCUCAGUUUGGAGUCACAGGACUUGUUUGGUUCUUUUACAUAAUUAAAUAGAAAACAUGUUUCAAAAUUAAUCUAUUUUCAUUAGCAUCCUAAGAAGGGUGUUGUAUGGAACAUUGAGGGAAGCUUGGACAUGGUACAUAUUAUUCUGGAUAAACAUGUGGAAGAUUAAUUCAGUUUUUGUGAGGUUGCAGAAAUCCUCUAUUCUUAUUAAAUAAUUGGAAUGAAUCUGAAAUCCAUUGGACGCCAUACGUGGGCAGAUAAUAGAUGCUAAUGAAGGACAUUUCUACUGAGUUGCCGUGAAAAUUCUUUAAGAAAUUGAUGAUGGGUUUCAAUAUUUUGCAAAAGCUAAUAAUAAAUUGACUUUGGAAUAACUACUGCACUUGUCUCUAUUAUUAUUUUCUUUAGUCAAUUAUUGACUGCAUUCUCAUUUUUCCUUUGUGCGUGUGUAAACCCCCCUCUCUUUCCCUUUCUGUUAUCACGAACCCCAGCCAAAACUAAACUUAUCCCCUUGGAAUUGAACCCUUGACUUCUUGCUUUCAUUGCAAGAGGCCAAACCAAUUAUUCUUUGGGCAUUUAUUAUUAUUACAUGCUUUGCUAUUGCUUGUCAAAGUAUCUAACUAUACGGUGGAUUUUUGGUGCUGACAAAGUCGUUAGUGCAUCAUUGUAAUUUUUUUUUUUUUUGACCAAGUUUGCAUCUUUCAAUUUCUUAUCUUUGAGUCUAACUUGCCACCUUGAGCUGGAAAUAGAUGUGUGAUCUGCCAAAUGGAAUACAAACGAGGUGACAGGCGCAUGACGCUACCUUGCAAACAUGUCUACCACGCUGGCUGUGGGACUAGAUGGCUUAGCAUCAACAAGGUAAGCAACUUGACAGUUUCAACUUUCAACCCAAACUCAAAUAUUUUUUAUCUUUGAUUUCUUACUUGUCCGUAAGGUCACUGAACCGCUUUUUUUUAUUUUCUCAGGCUUGCCCAAUUUGUUACACCGAGGUGUUUGGUGAUUCGUCAAAGCACUCGGAAAAUAAUCACCAGAGAGCAUAAAGAAGAUAACCCAGAUAACCCUCACUUUUUCUUUUCUUUGUUUCUCAAGUCUGCAUCGUAUAGAGAUGUUUGUUUUUCUUUUCUUUUUUCCUUCUCUCUUUUCACGUAGCAAAAUUGCAUUAGUUUUUGUAAUAAAUGAAGAGUAUGUGCUUCAUCUACGCAAAAUGGAUUUGUAAGUGAGGCCAGAGAUUGUAUAGGGUUUUUUCGCUCUUCCACAUUUUACCGGUACUAUAUGAUUGACUUUUGGUGGUGUUAUUUGUUUUGGUUAUAGAAUUUGAGAUUUCGUAUAGAACUUAGGAUUGACCGUGUAUUAAAAAUGAUCAAACUAUGAAUUAGGUCUGAUGAUUUGAUAGAUUGGUGUAGAUUUGCUUAUUAAAUUGUUUGAUCAAACCGGUUUUGGUUGACAAAUUGAGUUUAAUGAGGUCGGAUUGUAAUCACAAUAAUGUAUUUUCUUUGUCAAUAAGUGAAAAAAAGAAAGUAAAGAAGUUUUCUUUUGCAGUAGUUGAAAUUUUUCUUAGGCAUUAUGUUUGAUGGUAUUUUAGACUUUUAUUCGCAACACAGGCAACUCGGUAAGUUUAAAUAGUCAGAUGUGUUUUAAUACUCCUUUUAUAAUAAGAUUAACAGAGUAGACAAAUAUUUUUGUUUUAAUGUGACAUAUUAAUAUAAUAGUAUCCUCAUGUUUUUAUUCUUUUUAUAUUUUUAAUCAAUUAAUAAUAUCUUAUCACAUCAGUUUGUAUAAGCAAUUGUGAUUUAAUAACUAUUCUUGAAAUAAUUUUAAUAAUUAUGUCUUAUUUGAAUUUUCACUGUGUAAUAGUAAAAAAAGCUUAGUAAUAAUCUUCAAUUUCACUUUUAAAAUUCUACUUUUAUCAAUUUGUGUAAAGAGCAAUUGCUGCUAAGUUUUAUUAAACUAAUAAGACCAUUCUUUAUCUUUAAAAUCUAAAAAAUAACAAUAUUGCAAAAUAACAAUACAAAAGUUUAACCUCAUACACAUCAAUUUUAAAUGUGUAUAUGAAGGGCGCAACCGCGCAAGUGAAAUGUCAUAGUAGUAGGGACAAAAAACAAUUUGUAAUCAUUAAGUAGUUACUCACUUUUACGUAGAUUUCUAAGUUAUGCUUAAAAAUUAUGUGAUAAUUAUAGAGAUUCUUUAAGAAGGUUAUAUUCGAUAGGGUUCGGCUACGGUGCAACGGUGGUACGGUAACACCGUUGCAUCCAGCCGUUGGAUCCACUUAGAUGGAUGGAUCUAUUGAGAUCCAAUGGCUGGAUGCAAUGGUGGUACGGUACCACUGUUGCACCAUAGUUUUCUCCAUAUUCGAUACUCUCCAGUUAUGAUAUAAUUGUAUGGAUUUAAACUUCUUGUAUAUUCUAUCAUUAAAUUGAGAAAAUAUAUUCCAAUUUCAAUUGAAGCAUAUGCUAUGAAGCAGAAAAAAAGAUUCAAUAGGCUCCAAAAUUGCGAUAUAAUUGUCUGGAUUUAAACUUCUAGUGUACUCUUUAUCAUUAAAUUAAGAAAACAUGUUCCAGUUUCAACCGAAGCAUGCUCCACGAAGCACAAAUAAGAUUUUGUCAAAACCCAAAUCAACAAGAUUGCUCUCAUGAAGUACCAAAAACACUUUAAAAAAUUUGGGCUACUUGUAUAAUGCAGCGACACCCUAACAACCAUUUUCUGAAACUUUCAAGCUCCAGCUUAGCAAAAGAAAAUGACAAUCAAUACCUUAAGCAUUAUAAAUAAAAAUAAAUUACUCCCAUUAGUUGGAAAAUCUUAGUCUGCGUAGAACUCAAGGGAUGAACAAAUUCCAAAAUUUGUCUUUUCAUAGUCUUAUAUAGCUAUCACUGGCCUUAAUUUACAGCCAAUUUACUUGUAUCACCGACACAGUUGACUAGUCUUUAAAAACACUUAGUCGUAUAAUUUUAAUGCAAAUUUGCUGCCUAACACAAUAUAAUGAUAUAGGAUAUUACCGAUUUGCAAAAAUGGACAUAAUCUUUGUAUACAUUUUCAUACACGUUUAGCAUCCUAAGAAGCUUCAAAGUUUGACAUUCGAGACCUAUUCGUUUGGAAAGCGCUUUCAUGAUAAUAAAAAAAUUGCUGCUGGAUAAGCAAUUUUAACAACUCCUUUAGACUUGUUCAUGUGUUUAUGUGAACAAAUUUGUGAGGAACUUGGUGGGGAACCAUCUUGCAAAUGGUUGAACAAAAAUGAAAAAAAAAAAUAAAGCGUGAGAUUUGGAGACUAUUAUUAUAUCUAUAAUCCAGGCUGGUUUCUUCAUUAAAGAAAUAUUUCAAAGUCACCAAUGAUUAGGAGAAUUAGUAUAUAAAGGGGAUGCAAGUAUGUUUCAUAAACAAGUCACAAAGCACAAUUGCAAGAAAUGGGAGCCUCGGAACAGCCGAGGCAAUGGCCUCUAUUGAUUUCUUCCUUGGCAUUUUUGCUCAUAGCCACUACUGCCACGGCUGCUUAUGAGCCUUACAUUUAUCCCUCACCACCUCCACCGCCUUACUACUACAAGUCACCACCACCACCAGAAUAUUCUCCACCACCACCUUACUACUACAAAUCUCCACCACCACCUGAGAAGUCUCCCCCACCACCUUACUACUACAAGUCACCACCACCACCAGAAUAUUCUCCACCACCACCUUACUACUACAAAUCUCCACCACCACCUGAGAAGUCUCCCCCGCCACCUUACUACUAUCACUCACCACCUCCUCCUAAGAAGUCACCCCCACCACCUUACUACUAUAAGUCUCCGCCUCCGCCGAAGGAAUAUCCCCCACCACCUUACUACUAUCACUCACCACCUCCUCCUAAGAAGUCACCCCCACCACCUUACUACUAUAAGUCUCCGCCUCCGCCGAAGGAAUAUCCCCCGCCGCCUUACUACUACAAGUCUCCGCCCCCACCGGAGAAGUAUACCCCGCCGCCUUACUACUACAAGUCACCACCCCCACCUGUGAAGUAUCCCCCGCCACCUUACUACUACAAGUCACCGCCCCCACCGGAGAAGUAUACCCCGCCGCCUUACUACUACAAGUCACCGCCCCCACCGGAGAAGUAUACCCCGCCGCCUUACUACUACAAGUCACCACCCCAACCUGUGAAGUAUCCCCCGCCACCUUACUACUACAAGUCACCACCCCCACCGGUGAAGUAUCCCCCGCCACCUUACUACUACAAGUCACCACCCCCACCGGAGAAGUAUACCCCGCCGCCUUACUACUACAAGUCACCACCCCCACCGGAGAAGUAUCCCCCUCCACCUUACUACUACAAGUCACCACCGCCACCGAAGAAGUAUCCCCCUCCACCUUACUACUACAAGUCACCACCGCCACCAGAGAAGUAUCCUCCACCACCUUAUUAGUAGAAGUCUCCUCCACCUCCCUCUCCAUCUCCACCCCCUCCCUACUACUAUAAGUCGCCACCUCCUCCUUCUCCAUCUCGACCCCCACCAUACCAAUAUUUGUCACCUCCACCUCCUAAAGGCUACUAAAUAUACAAUGUGUUGUUGAAACAUGUGUGAUCUUAAUUAUGUAAGAAUAAGUGUAAGUUUGUAAGCUUGUUCUAUUUCUGAUUUUUUUCUUCAUCAAUGUUUUUGUGAAUAAAAGGAUUUGAGAUGGUAAAUCCAUUUGUAAGAAGUGCUGCUCAUUUUCGUUGUAAAAGUUACUGUAAGCAAUAAGAUCUCGUAAUUUAAGGUUUCAUAAAAGUUAUAUGUGCAACUAAUUUCAAUUUCAAUUGUCAUAUUUUUCACAACCACCAAGCGUAUUACUUCUUUAU